AGUGAGAGCUAACCGGCGAGAUAUUGAUGCGUCGGCGGUUGUAGCUUCAUCUCGUUUCUGUGAGCGGCAGACGAUGAGUUGGUUGGGCUUGAUCGGAGCCUGGCGGGAUGAAGACGAUGAUGAUCUGCAGGCUGGGGUUGAGAGAGCAUGGAAACAUGAAGUGGCAGCCAUGGUUGUGGUGGAGAGAGGAGGCGGUGGUUUGGUGAGUGUGAUUGCAGAAAUGGAAGCCGAGGGUAAAGAGAGAUUAAGAGAAAGGAUUGGUUGGAAAUGGAUGAGAGGAAGAUGAGAUUAUUGGGUUUGGAUAAGGGUGUAUUGGCUGAAAUUGGUGCCAACUGUGAACGAGAUGAUCUUCAACUGUACUCGGAUUGUCAAGGUGGGGUACAAAGGGACAAGGGGUGUGUCAAACCCGAUUAUCUUAAUAAUAUAAUUAAAAGUCGUAGUAAUUGGUUUUUCAUGUAUUAAUUAUCUGAUUAUGUAGAUUAAUAAUCAGUAUAAUCAGAAUUUGAAUAGAUUUACUUCACAUAACAUGAACAAAAAUCGGACCCAAAAAUAUGACUUGAUAAAAAUCUAGUGAUAAUGGUCAAAAAAAAAUAAGCCCAGCCCAAUUAGAAUUGGAUGGGUUCGACUUCGAGGUCCGAGCAUGCGAGAGGUCAAGAUUCUAUAAGUAUAACUAUGACCGAUGGAAAAUUGGUCAAUAACAUUAUUUUGUAAGGUUUAUAAUUUUACAAGGGAAAAUCUGUAAAAUAAUCUUUAUAUUUUGGUUUUAUUACUGAAAAGUCAUUUUUUAUUUUUCUUUUUGCAAUUUAAUCAUUAAAAUCGAAAAAACUUAUAAAAUAACCUUUGAAAUCUGUUAGUGUCUGUUUUAAGGGUUAAAUUGCAAGCAAAAAAUAAUAAAUAACUUUUUAAUUAAUAAGAUUAAAGUUGAAGAUUUUUCUGUAGAUUAUAUAUAAUAAAAACUCAAAAUAAAGAUAUUUUUUUAUUAAAAAACACAAUAAUGACAAUUUAUGUCAUUUUUAGAAAUUUUUAUGACUCUCUUUAAUAAAUAUUAUUACUACAAUCAUAAAAUUAUUAUUUAUACGGUAUAUAACUUAAGAGGACCUUUCUUGCAUUUUUGGGUCAAAUGCUACUUCAUUGUUGAACUUUUAAUUCUUGGGUGUAAAACAUUUAUUAUAAAACUACCAGUUACCCAAGAUCCUUUCACAAUCGAACGAUACCUCAGAAAAUAAAGACUUAUCAAAGGUUGUUAUUCAUAAAUAGAGCUCCAUUAUACACACUAUGUGAUCUAAAAACGCACUUCUUACGACAAAUCAACAAAAGUUCGUUUUUGUGUUCAUUAAUACCUCAUAUUUACACUAGUCGGUCACCAUUGUCAUAAAAAUCAUGAUAUUUACACGUCACCACCACUACCACCCUUUACCACCACCAACACCAUCUUCAUCACAAAACACCAAUAACCCCCAUCUCCGACCCACACUCUUAAGAGGGUGACCGAAUAAGAGGGUGUAAAACCUGAUAAAAUGUUAAAAUUUUUUUUUUUACAAAUAUGAGGCAUUAGUAAACUCAAAAAUGGUCUUUUGUUGAUUUGUCGUAAGCAAUGCGUUUCUAAGCCAUAUAGUGUGUAUAAUGAAGUUCUAUUUAUGAGUAACAACCUCUGAUAAGCCUUUAUUUUCUGAGAUGUCAUUCGAUUGUGAAAUGAUCUUUAAUAAGUGGUAGUUUUAUGGUAAACAUUUUACACCAAAUACCUAAAAAUUCAACAAUGAACUAGCAUUUGGCCUAGAAAUGCAUUUUUUGCGACAAAUCAACAAUGUCCUUUUAAGUAAUAUAUGAUAUGGAUGAUAUCUUUGUGAUUGUAGUAAUUAUAUUUAUUAAAGAUAAUCACAAAAAAUUCCAAAAAUGACAUAAAUUGUCAUUAUUACGUUUUUUAGUAAAAAAAAUUAUCUUUAUUUGGACUUUUUUAAUAAAUAUUAUAUAAGUUCUCUUCAAAUCAAUUAUAAAAAAAAUUUUCAGAAAAAUCCUUAGUUUAAUCUUAUUAACGAAAAAGUCAUUCAUGAUUUUUUUCUUUGCAAUUUAACCCUUAAAACCAGCACUAACCGAUUGUAGAGAUUAUUUUGCUAGUGUUUACCGGUUUUAAUGAUUAAAAUGAAAUAAAUAAAUAAAUAAAAAUUAUAGAGAUUUUGUUUUGCAGAUUUCCCUUUUAUAAGGAUUAUCAUUUAUUUUUAAAAAAUAAUUUUUAAGUAAUCGAUCUUCAAUUCAUAUGUUUUGUAUGAUUACAUGUUUUCUAAUAUUGAAUAAAGUCAUUUUCUUUAAAAAAAAACAUCGUUUGACUAAUAUUUUAAAUUUUGUUAUACAUUUGAUUCAAAUUUAAAAUUUUGUUAUGAAUUCGUCCCAAUUUUAGUUUUUUUCUUUUACAAAUUUAUUUUUCUACAACCUUUUUUAGACUUUUUUAUAAUGGUUUAAGAUAUUUCUUAACUGUCAAUAUUGAUGAAGAAUCAGACAGUGACUCCAGACCAACUCUUGUUCGCAAGAAAUAGAAAACAAACCCAAUUCCCAGCCAUAUGCUCGACCGGACUAAUACUGGAGUCUCUUAAAAGACUCUGGUAGUCCUUGGGGUCCCCGCGGACCUAUUAGCUUCAACCCUCUCCAGCCACUCAGACACAGUAAGUGUGUAUGUUUCAUCUGAUCAUGGAGACUCGAUCCCAAUUGAAUCCCAAGAGGAUCAAGUUGGUUCUAAACGCCCUAAGGUCUCCAGGGCUUCCCAACCGCAGGGCGAUUCUUCAGCCCUAGCCAGAACUGAACCGAGGCCACACUUGACUACGGGUCAAGGAGACCAAAGAAGCUCAGGAAAUCCUACUCCGCUUACCUUACAAUCAGGUGGUUUAGGCAUGGUGAGCACAAACGUGCAAGGAUCCAUGAACCUGAGGGACACCCCGGUGCGACAAAAAGGAUUUGACAGAUAUGAUUCUGAUGACUCUUGGGUUCAAUAUAAACCACAAACUGAAUCCGAAGUCAAAAAGUAUGAAGCUUUUAGAAGGGAAUUUUAGGCCCGCAAAGAUCAACAAACCAAACAACAGCAGUUAAAAGAGCAGGAAAUUCAAACAAUUGCCAAGUACUGAGCGGAUGCGAUCAAUAAUGCAAACAUCGUGGCCACAAUCCUUAAAGUUCAAGACUGGAUGACCUUAAUGGCUGAAACCAUCCAGAAAGCCCAAGCUCUUCAAAGUGGAGCAGGUCCUUCAAAGCCCACUCAAACUACCAAAAUUCAUGCAUCCAACGAAGACGGUACCGCAAUUGAAGUCAGCUCCGGACCAACUUUUGGUAUGGAUGAUAUUGAUAUGACUGAAGUUAAUCAACCAACUCAGUCAGAUGACUUCAUGAUGGUGUUUGAUGAUGAAGAUUCAAGCAAUUCUCAACACUCAACUUCCAAACCAGAGGAAAAGAAGAAAAAGAAGAAAAUGAUUGUGACGCGCAAAGAGUUUCUUAGUCUCUAGGAGAAAGUUGACAAUAUAUUGGUCGCAGUAACCAUACCGCAACAAACCGAUGUUGCUGGGCCACAGUCAAUUGUGGAACGAGUUGAAAGAGUAGAGACAAGGGAAUGCCUGGCUGCUGAACAAAUAUCGCUCAAAGUUGAAAUGGGUAUCCGUGCCCUCGACAACAACAGAACAGCAGACCACAAAGAGUUCAUAGCUACUGCCGAACAUCUUAUCUAAGAGGUCACCACAAUCAAAACAGAACUUCAAUCUUCAAUUUAUGAUCAAGCUAUUCAGUCCAAGAAGCCUGUUGAGGAAACGCAUAAUGCUUACGAAUCAACCAUCUCUAUGCUCCAAUCAACGAUCAACAAUCUCCGACGCUCCCUGACCGCAAGCUUUCAUGGUCAGGAGAUCCUCAAGCUCACCAAAGACAUCCAUCAAUUGAUGCUCAACACAAAUAUCCCCGACAAUCAGCAACUUUCUGAUAUCCUGAAGUCCCAAUUCAAUAAUGUUUUCAUGAAGAUUGAUGGACUCCGUCAAUGGUUUGAGGACUAACAGGUCAGUUCCUCAAAAGGGGGGAAAUGAGCACUCUGAUCCACAGCUCCAUCAAUCUCGGGUCAUACCAAUCUUCGGUCUAUCUCACUUCGCUCCGGAACAACCAAUUGCAACUCUUGAAGUUCACCAAUCUCCAAUUUUAACUACGGGUCAAGCUAAACCUUCCACUUCGGUGCCUUCUCCUCCGAAAUCUCCUUCGCAGAUUCAAACUAGUAACAUGAAUCUCCUCCUCGCCAAGAAACCCCACCUCAAUUCAGAAACUUAGCACCAACUAUGUCAUCAGAACACUCAUAUGACUCCCCUGCAACGAAGCAAAGGAAGAUUGAUUGGAAGGCGACCAAGUUCGCGGAACAAAUAUGGAUAGACCAUGGGUUCGACACUACUAUAGAUGAAACCCUUAUUAAUUCAUGGUUUAAUCCAACCCGCAUGCUUCUGGAUGAUGACUACAGGCCAAUACUGACAUACGCUGAGCCUACGGAAGAUGGCUAUUGGGACAUUCCCAUUUCUCCGAAUGCCAUGUUUUUCAUAGUUUUUGAACCAUUUGACCUAAGCCUUCCUGAUGAUCAAAGGUUUCCUUUGGAGUUUGAACGUCUCAACAAGUUCCAUGGAAAGCAUGGAUCCAAAUUCGAGGAUAUAUGGUCAAAUGAUAAGCCAUACGGACUCAAUAACUACAAGAUCCGUAAAUUCAUGAAAUCUGAAUUCCUCCAAUACACGUUGACAAGAAGAGGUUGUGAUUAUAUCCAGACUCAAGCUGAAUUUCCGUGUAUGAAUCUAGAAGAGGUAUUCUUAAUCGCAAGGGUGUUUCAACUCAAAUCCGAAAAACACUCCAAAAUGAAGAUAGUUUAUGAAAAAGCUUGUGAGUACUUACGGUGUGCAGUAUGUAAUUUUGCUAAAAUAGAUGCUAGCAUUCAUCCGACCCUAGUUCAGAAGUUCAACCUGUCACGCCCCCGAACCAGAUGACGGAAUCGUCCGGGGGCUCGUGUGACUAUCAAUUGAAUUAUCAUCACAAUGAAUAUACAUGAAACAUAACACAAUCAUCACCAAACAUUACAUAUUACAACUGAUAUUUUUCACAUCAAGUACAUUAUCUUAGGUUACAUGUUCCCAAAUAUUAAUUGUACGAUGAUUUGACAUUUCACAAAAUAAUUUUCCUACACUUGAAAGUUCCCCUGCUUAAUGGUUGCCUGAGAAUACAAGUUAUUUUGAAAAAGGUCAACAUAUAUAAUGUUGGUGAGUUUAUAAGCAUGUUUGAAUGAAAGUCUUUAUAUUGUUUGUAAAACCCAGAAAAUCGGAUAUCUUCUGUAAAAAGUCUGAAAAAUGAUGUGAAAAUCGAGUAUAGAUGCAUGUGUGAAUUUAGUGAAAACAUGUAUAAGUAAACGAUCCAAUAUUUCCUUGUAUUAUAUCUGUUGUAAGUAGAAUUUAAUAAUUAAUAGUAUUUUCCCCCAGAAAACCCGAUAUUUCCUGAUUUGUAAAAGUGUGGUAGCCCUUGCAUAUCGUAUGAAUUGUUUUGUAUUAAUAUGAUUCAAGCACUUGGAUUCCUGUAAUGUAUUGAUAACAAUAGAUCUCUGUGUGAGUCGUUAUAAUCAUGCAUGAUAGUGACUGAUUUGCCUGUCUUGGCAUUUUUCCAAACGCCGGUUUUGAUCAAGGUUUUGUCACCCUAGUGAACGACUCAGGUGUGGGGGAGUCACCCCCGUAUAGAUCUAUACACAAACUCUCGCUCUCCCUCCAGGAGACUCUUAUUAUAACUAUAAGCUACGACCAUACACUCAAUGGUGUCAGCCAAGAAGUUUCACUAGAUCCCAAUUAUUGUCACAUGAAUAUGUAUAACGUUAUAUGUAUUUAGAAUUUCGAACACCAAAUGAUACAUGAAUGUGAAAGGAUAAAGCCCAACAAACAUGAAAAAAAAACAAUUGUGUCCCAUUAGACAUGUAAGUUAUUUACAGGCUUAUUAAGUAUGCAAAUGGACACGUUAAAGCCCAUUAGUCAUAUGAUGAAUUAUUCCAGGCUAAAUUAGCAUGUAAAUGGGCCACUAAGGCCCAAUAACAUUUAAAGACUAAUUUAGUCUCAUUAAGCAUGUAAUUGGAUCACAAAGGCCCAAUAUACAUGAAAUGAUUAUAUUUUGCCCAGUAGACAUGAAAAUGGGUCAUGAAGGCCCAAUAAGCAUGUAUAGUGAGUACUAGGCCCAAUAGUCGUAUCGUUGUUGUAUCUUGUUUGUUUAUUAGAGUAUAGUUCAUUUAGUGGAAACAUUUAUCCCUAAUGUUAUAGAAAGUUCGGUGUUUUGUUAUGAUGAUAUUUUUAGUUCGUUACGUCAAAAUUCUAUAAUUUUAACUCGUGUUUUAUAAAAUUACACUUUAAGUCCCUUAAAAAUGAAAUUUAACAUUUAAAGGCUUAUUUUACAUAAAAUGUCCUUUUUGGUCUAUUUUAGUUAAAAAUAACCUUUUAGCUCAUAUGUUUAUAAAAAUUUAUAUUUUCGCCCCAAAUGUUUAGUAAUUGACGGAUUUGGCCCAAAAAUACAUAUAUUGACAUUUUCAGCCCAUUUUUGCAGAAAAUUACAUUUUCAGCCCCUUAUUUGAAUAAAAUGACGUUAUCGGCCUAAUUUUUAUAAAAUUCACAUCUUUGGCCUAAUUUUGAAAUAAGAGUCAUUUUCAGCCCUUAUUUUUGUUUAUUUUAAGUUUUGAUUUAAAUAUCAUUUUAAUCCUCAAAAAAUGAUAUUUUUGCAAUUUGGGCCCAAAAAGCCAUAAGGCCCAAAUUAAGGCCCAUAAUGCAAAAUAUUACACUUUUGGUCCUUUGGAAAGUAUAGUUGUUAUAAAAACUCAUUUUUAUACAAAUCUGACCCUUUUGAUCCUCACAAAACCGUAAGUGGCAAAAUUAUCCUAAUCUUUGUUUACUUGUCAAAAAUGGUCCAUAUACAAGAUUUUUGUUUUGUUUUUCACAUCUUAGGCAUGUAUAACACUUUUAUAUUUGUAGUAUGAUGUAUAGAGUGUUUUAGUUGAUAAAUAUCACCCAUUUUUGUUAGAGUUUUCGAGGUUCAUCAAGUUUCAUUACAUAAUCACAACAUAAACCAAGAAAAUCACACAAAGCAUGCAUAAAUACAUAGAUCUACACAUAAACACUUGUAUUCUCCCCCAAAAACAUGUAAAAACCGAAAACAAGGGGGUAUGAACUCACCGUUUCUUUGAUGUUUCGGUUUUGAAGAAGAAAUGGAGAGAUUUUGGUCCUAGCAAGCUUCUUGAGUGAUUUUCGAACUUAGGAAGUUUCUAAGAGUAUGAUCAUGGAGUAAAGCUAUGUAAGAAGGAGAUAUUAAUGUUAAAAUGGAAGGAGAUGUUUGUGUUUGAUAAAAACUUACCAAAGGUUGAAAAUACUUGAUGAAGAUCCUUGAAACAAAAGCAAAAUUUCGAGAUCUUUGAUGGAAGAAGGAGGAUGAUCUUGAAAGUGUAUUUGGAGAGAGUUUGAUAUUGUGUAAGUGUGUGUGUGUGUGUGUUUCUUGCUCUCGGCCGAAGGAAUAAGAAUAGGGAUAAGAGAAGGAUUUUGCAUGAAGGGUAAUAUGUUUUAUGGAUGUUUGUGAGUUUAUAGAUAUAUGUUAGUCAAUGUUGUGUUGUCACCUUUUCCUUAAUCGCCAUAAAUCUUUUUUUUAUAUACCACAAACCAAGAAAGGGAAUGAAUGGGAGGUUUGGGCCUUCUUUUGAUUUAGUUAAAAAAAUUUGAAGUUCAUAAUGAAGAUUCCCGGCCCAAUGGGACCUUUUAUGAGGGUUCAUGGCCCAUUAGGGUAAAAGAAUGGAGUUUAUGAUCCAUUAAGGCUAUUGGAAUUGUUGUGGCCCAAUUUGGCCCAUUAGAAAUAACAUGAACCAUUUUAGGCCCACAUGGCCCAAAAUGUUGAGUUUUUGUGAAUGUGGGUCCAUUUGGAGCCAAUUUAAGGGGUUCUAAGCCUAAAAUAAUCGAACCGAAGGCUUAUUGGCCCAUCAGGCCCAAUAAGAAAAUCCUAGCCCAUAAUAAACUUUAACUGAUAUUUUUUAAGGUUUUCAACUCAUAAUUGACCAUUUGAAGUACUUUGCAUAAAGUUUUGAACUUCAAUUGUGGAUCCUGACUAAGUUUAUUGUCAUAGAAUGAACAUCGUGUAUGAUAUCAAGUUAGAGUUACAAAUAUUAUCACAGAUGACGUUUACAUGAUCAUAGAAUUCCCUGGCUAAAAUGCCAGUUGUGACAUAACCUUCCUCCACUUGAUCCCGCACUAGUUUAUACUGAAGGUUAUCAAGAACAUUCUUUGGGUGAAACCAACUUCCCAGAACUAGGAGUUGUGUUCAAAAGAGUUAAUAGUGAUGUCAAGUACUUUAUUCCCAUCACUGCCAUGCACCGCCUGACCCGAAGACAACUCGAAGUCACUCUAAAUUCAGUGCAGAGAUUAAAGCACACAACUGACGAAGUCAAAUUCGAGAUCACUCGAAGAAUCAAAUGGCUGGGAGAAGUUAUAAAAUUUUGGUGGUUGCUGAUAAAGUUCUUGAAGCUCAACAGGUGAGAAGGUUAAAGAGGCCACUUAGGGGGAAAUUAUUGAUGCAAGAAGUGACCCUCUUGAACCACCAUCCGAAGUCCACACUCUGCCGCAAUGUCAUUGUUGCUACUGAAUCGUGAAGCAAAGAUGUCAUCCGCAACCUUCUUUCCAGAACAAAGACUUAGUAUUGUUAACUUAUGUAUUUACUAUGUUUUGUCCAAUGUACCUUGCAUGGACACUUCUUUUAAUCUUUGUUUAUUCUACUGUAACGUUCAUGGAGCUCUAUAAAUAGAGCCUUCCACUUUAGUUUGCAAUACAGAUCUCUCUUUCAUCUUAUAUCUUAUAUCUCUCUUUACUAUCUCACUCUCAAGAUCUUGCUGAACUAAAAAUCUCUUAUCUUAAGAUCAUAACCUCUCCUCGGAGCAAGUCACUUUUAACUUAAUCAUGUUAAGCUGAUCACACUUAUUAACUUGCUUUGAUUGCAAUCCUUGUUACAAAUCAGUUUAAGUGUUUACUUGAUAUAAUAUUUGUUGUCAUUUAUAUUUCCUUAUAUUUCCACAUCUAAUUAUCUAACUCUCUAACUCUAACUUAUUAUGUAACACCGAUAAAUUUCAAACAAUUUUUCAUUAAAAAAUUUCUUUUAUAAAAACAUUUCAUUUCCAAAUCAUUCCAAAUCAUGUAUCCAAUAUUUCCACAAAACACAAUAGAUAAUCUAUAUCCCAAGAUCUCAAAACAUAUCAUCUGCAAGUGUGUACUAAUCAUGCCGGUGCUUUCCCGCGAUCAUCACUGGUACCCGAAACACAUAACACACAAACGGUAAGCAUAAAUGCUUAGUGAGUUCCCCAAAAUACCACAUACAACACAUACUCCCUUCCAGGCCAUAACUCUAUAGGACCUUCCGAUCCAAGUGUCUCAGGGGAUUUCCAUCCCAUAACUCUGUUGACCUUUCGGCCCAUACUCUGUUGACCUUCCGGUCCAUAUCAUCAUACUCAUAUCAUAACAUAUCACACAUAUAUAACAUGUAUCACAUAAACAUCAUACACACAAGACCUUUCGGUCACACAUAAGUACCCCAUCGGGUAUGGCAUAGUGAGAAGACUCACCUCGCUGAUGUCGGAUAAUCACUCGUGCUCGAUUCCCCAACCUAUCGUCCUCCUAUAUCAUAAGUACAUCUCUAAUUAAUACUUUCCUGACUUAGUUUGACUAACACUAUUAAGUCAACACUAGUCAACCCCAGUCAAUGUUGGUCAACGGUCAGCCUUUGCCCCGACUCGUCGAGUCUUGCAUAGACUCGUCGAGUCCAUACAUGAACUCGAGCCCUUUGAAUCCUUUCUGACUCACCGAGUCACUCACCCAACUCGGCGAGUCAUCCACUGAUCUGAGUCAUGGGACAACCCGCUCCGACUCAUCGAGUCUGCUCAUGGACUCGGCGAGUUCAUUUCAUGCACAACCUCUAACAAACUUCUGAGGCCAUAUCUAUUCCUCUAAUCCCUAGAUCUAACCUUCCCAAGUUCAAUAAUCACGUAAAGUCUCUAUCUUGAUGCACAUGCAACAUCUAUAUGACAAUAGAUGAUGAUUUAGCCCCAAAUACCUUAACCCAAGGUCAUAACCUCCAUUGUUCUUUAUAAAGCUUGAUGAGUAAGGCUCUCUGGACCUCUAUGGAUCCAGAUCCAAAGCCUCAUCACUAGAAAGGGACUAUUUGGACAUCAAAUCAACCUAGCAAAGGGCACAAGAAACCCUAAAUCCAUAUACUCUUCACAAAACAGAAGAAGAGUCGAAUUAAUUCCUCAAAUGCGAUGAUCUUAGCUUCAAAUCCACAGAAUAGCAAUCUCCUUUGCUUCCUCUUGGCUAGGACCUCCUUCUUCUUUCUAAAUAACACCACAAAGGUCAAGAAUGGCUUCCUUUCUCUCUCAAGACGCUCAAGCACUCUAGGGUUUCUCUCUAUGGACUGGUAGCCACAAAUGAAGGCCAUAAGGGCCUUUAAAUAGGUCCCCAACCCGAGAAAUUAGGGUUUCUUUUGUCAGCUCUGACUCGACGAGUCACUAUCCUUGACUCGUCGAGUCCCCUCAUUAACCACGUCAUCCAGUCGCGACCAGACUCGACGAGUCUAAGCACCAACUCAUCGAUUCACCUUACAUAAUUAAAUAAAUACAACAUAAAUCAAUAUAUCUGGGGAAAUGGGUGUUACAUAUUAUUAUUAUUGAGCUUUAUGAUCAUUUGAGUUAAAAUUAUACCACAUAAGUCAUGUAUACAACAUAUAGGGAUGCCCUGGAAACCUUCCAGGGUCUUAUUCUGGGUGCCUCAGGAACCCCCCGAGGUCUUAGCCCAAUGAUGCCCUAGUAACCUUACAGGGUCUUAUUCCGGGUGCCUCAGGAACCCCCCGAGGUCUUAGCCCAUGGAUGCCCUGGAAACCCUCCAGGUUCUUACUUCGGGUGCCUUGGGAACCCCCCGAGGUCUUAGCCUAAAUGCCUCGGGAACCCCCCUGAGGUAUUUACUAAGGAUGCAUUGGAAACCCUCCAAGGUCUUACACAUAGGUGUCUCGGGAACCCUCGAGGUCUUUCAUGCAAGUAUCACAAAUAACUAGCAUACCAUAUAUCCCAUAACUAACUAGCAUAUCACAUAACAAAUAAUAGGCCAACCUUGGUGUCUUAGACCCAUUGGUAUGGUGAAGAGACUCACCUCUCGUGAAUGCUGAACUGACACAUGUCAUAAUCUAAAUCUAACUUUUACUUUAUACACUAUAUUUUUACAUUGGAUUGUAAAUAAUAUUUUAAAUUUCAUUCAUUUUAGAACAAAUAUAUUCGUUGAUUUAUGAAAAAUAACAUGUUUUAAUUUUGAGAAAUUAAAUAUCAUCCUAUUUUUGUUCCUACUAUCUUUCUAUUUAUUUUAAGUGGUGACAUGUGUCAUUCAAUUUAAUUUAAAUUUAAUUAAAAUAUUAAAUUCAUAUACUCGUGUAACAUCCCAAGUUCAGGAGUGUAAAUUCAGGGUUCAAAGUGUAAGUAUGAAAGGAGAAAUCAGCGAGUCCAUGGGUGGACUCGGCGAGUAGGGUCGCGACUCUGGUNUGUUAAGUGGCCGACUCGGCGAGUCGGAGGCUGGACUCGACGAGUAGGCGCUGAGUGGAUAAAACCCUAAUUUCGGAGGAUGAGCCCUAUAUAAAGGACAUUAUACCCUCUCCCCAGCCUCUUUACCCUCUCUUGAAGUCCAGAAAACCCUAAGACGCGAUUGUGAGGGAUUUGAGUGCAUCUGAACCUUGGAGAAGAGAUUUUGGAGGAGAUAUUGGAGAGUUAGGAGGCUUGGAGCAAGAGGCUUUGCUAAGAUUCGGAUUCCUCUUCUGUUGGGACUUCCUUUUGAGGUAUUACUUCGUUUCUUGGGCUGUUAUUUAUCUAGAAUCAUCAUUUUGGAGUGUGUGGAAAGUUUGGCUUGUGGUAUCUCGAUUUUGAAGGUUAGAUCUGAGGUUGCUACCUCAGAUCUGGAAUGGGGAAGGUCUAGAGUGCAUUAAAGUCCCUGUUCUUGAGUGGUUGGUGAAGUCAUCUUGUCCGAAACCCUAGCCCUAUAGUGAAUAAUGCCUAAAUCUCUUUGGAUUCACGUAAAGUUUGCCACUUUACGUGAUGCAUGGGUUGUAGAAGGGUAGAUCUACGUUUUGGAUCAACUGCAUGGCCUGGAAGGCUUCUGUAUAGGUUAAGAUCUAGAGGCACUCGGCGAGUCACAAAGGUGUACUCGGCGAGUUGCUUGAAGAUGGACUGGAACUCGGCGAGUUGGAAGAACAACUCGGCGAAUAGGUUGAAGAUAGCUUUGGACUCGGCGAGUCUGUUCUUGGACUCAGUGAGUCUGGUUGUGAGGUCCAAACUUCUUCUGGUUGAGCCAUGAAUCAGUGAGUCAAGGGAGGACUCGGUGAGUUGAGUGCGAGGGGGCUCAGAGUCAUGGGACUCGGCGAGUCUCGGGGUGACUCGGCGAGUCGAGUCGUGGAUUGGGGAAGUUCUGAGCAUGAGGACUUGGCGAGUCAUCGGGUUGACUCGGCGAGUAGAGUAGUCAGGAGGUUGACUUUGACUUUGACCAAGGGUUGACCAGUUGAUUCCAUGGGCAUUUUGGUAAUUGUUAGCUUUUGUUUUGAGUUCAGAGUCUUGGUGUUGGCCAGUGUUGGAGAUCGUAUCAGUGGUCGGAGCAGCUUGGGUUUAUCUGUUCAGUCGGCAAUUGCGAGGUGAGUUCUCCUCACUAUAUCAACUGGGUCUAAGGCACCACGGUUGGCCCUUUUAUCGGACUGAGAUCCGGGUAUCGUUGUUAUGUUAUUGCUUUGCUAUGUUUGCAUCCUGGUAGUUAGGAUGGUGUUAUGUUAGAGACCUGGUUAAGGUCAGUAUCUUGGUAUAUAGGAUGGUGCUAUGCUAGUGACCGGUUAGGUCGGUAUCCUGGUAGGGAGGAUGUUAUGUUAUGUGAUCUGUUAGAUCGGUUGAUUGAGUGUAAAUUGUUAUAUGCUUGAAUGUUUAUGUGCACAUGGUUGUUGGACUGGGGUUGGGUUGAGGCGGGUCCUGCUUUGUGCUGUAGGCCAACAUACCCAGGGCGGACCGGUUGUCCCGAAGGCCCAACGAGCGGUCCGGAUAGGCUGUAGGCCCCAAGAGGGCGGACCAGACGUGCCGAGGCUCGGAGAGUGGACCAGGCCGACUGAAGGCCCGGUGCGGGCGGACCAGUCAUACUGUAGACUCAGAGAGUGGACCAGGUGGAUUGAAGGCCCGGUACGGGCGGACCAAUCACACUGUAGACUCGAUGGAUAUGGCUAGACUCGGAGGGUGGACCAGGUGGACUGUUGGCCGGUGCGGCGGACCAGUCACACAGUAGACCCGAAGUGCAUGGUUGUUCUAUGUUCUGAUAUGAUAUGACAUGUUAUGCAUGUAUGGUAUAUGUGGUUGGUAUUUUGGGGGUAUCUCACUAAGCUUUCGGGCUUACAGUUGUGGUUUAAUGUUUUUCAGGUUCUUCAGGAGACCGUGGCAAGACAAAGGCGUGAUCGUACCGUUCCUCAUGAUUAUGUUUUGUGAUGUGGUUCUGAAAAGCCUCUGAUAAUAAUUGUAUUGAAAACCUUUUUGUAAUAACAUUAUGAAAAUGAGUUGUUUUUGAAAAGUUAAACUUCGUUGAAAUUUUAUGAUCGUUACAACUUGUUAUCAUAUUAAAUAGACAGAGAAAAAAAAAUAAGACCAAGAUAAAAAAUUAUUAAAUUUCUCUUUAAUUUUUAAUCUAUAGAAAAUGGCUCUUACAUUCUAAUAAUUAUACCAUAAUUAAUACUUUAGUUUAAAAUAAAUCUGGUGACUUUGUUCUAGUUUUGCAAUUAAAAAACACAGAUUUCCAUGCAAUUAUCUCUAUUCCUUUAAUCCGAUUUGCGAUUNNNNNNNNNNNNNNNNNNNNNNNNNNNNNNNNNNNNNNNNNNNNNNNNNNNNNNNNNNNNNNNNNNNNNNNNNNNNNNNNNNNNNNNNNNNNNNNNNNNNNNNNNNNNNNNNNNNNNNNNNNNNNNNNNNNNNNNNNNNNNNNNNNNNNNNNNNNNNNNNNNNNNNNNNNNNNNNNNAUUUUCUCUUUAGUGUGGUGUCCAGAUUUUUCUUCUCUAUAUUUUUAAAAAUUCUUGGCCCACUCUUCCCUCACCCUCUCUCUACUUCCAAACUCCCUUUUGCUUCUCAGAUUUUGUCUUUCGGUGGCUUUGCGUGCACUGCUUCCCCAUUACAACCGGUCCCUAAUCUAUGCUUGCAAAAUCUGAGCAGUGCGCCAUGUGGGUCUUUCGAUUCUCAUGAAACAAUAAGUGGGUUUAGAUUAAAUCGCAUCUACAGUAAGUUUUUCAACACCAUUAUGUUUCUUUUAGAUCAGUGCUUAAUUUUCUCAAAUGCCUUUAAUAUAUCUGACGAUUUACAGCUGUAAUUGCACUAGUAUAUACUUUAUCUAAUGUCUUGUUGGAAUUCUUCCAAUUUUCUCUUUAUUUUGUCAGGCAUUGGGAUUUGAUUUGGGAUUAGUUGCUCUAUUGUAAACCUAGUAAUUGGAAAUUGGAAGGUGGGUUUUUCAUUUUUGAUUGUUAAUGUUAAUUUUAGCUUAAUCGCGCCACAAAAUCCGACAAUUGAGAUGUGUUUUCCUCUUUCCGUUUUGUUGACAGGAUACGGAAGGAGAUGGAUUAGCAGACGUCGGGGGGUUAUACGACUUCAUAACUCGUAAUUGUCGCCAAAAUGUCAUCCGGGAGUUUAAAUACACAAUUAUCUAAGAAGACUUCAAUUAUGGGUCUUAAACUAUGGGUAGUGAUCUGCCUCUGUGUUGGUAUGUUUAUCUGUGUGUUUCUCUUUUUCUUAUCAAUGUGGGUCACAUGCCAAAGAAAAUCUCGAAGAAGAUCAGACAAUUACCCCCUUUCCCAGAUACCAAAUGUCCCAAAAGACAUCAGGGUUGAUAGAGUCGGAGGUUCACAUUUUCAUAACCACAACAAUCUUGAACAUUCAUCAGCAACCACUAAUGAUGAACCGACCAAUAAGAAUUCAGGAAAGAUGAUGUUUCAACUUGGAGUGAGCAAAUCUGGUGAUGCUGAUAAUGUAAGUCAAAGCAGUUCUAUUUAUGAAAGGGGAUCCAAGUCAAAGUCAGGUGAAGAAGGAACUUCUGGAAUGGUCUGGAAACAAUCUUCAUCUCCAUUUAUAGGGUUACCUGAAACCUCACAUUUAGGGUGGGGACACUGGUUUACUUUAAGAGACCUUGAACAAGCAACACGCCGUUUCUCCCAUGAAAAUGUGGUUGGUGAGGGUGGAUAUGGGAUUGUAUAUAAAGGAACAUUGAUCAAUGGGACAGAGGUAGCAGUGAAGAAGCUUCUUAACAAUCUGUGAGUAUGAGUAUAGCUUUAAGCUAUGAAAUGAAUGUUUUAUUACUUGUUUUAUAAUUUUAUAUCAUGUUUAUAUGCAUAGGGGACAGGCUGAAAAAGAGUUUAGAGUUGAAGUGGAGGCAAUAGGACAUGUUCGACACAAGAAUCUUGUGCGACUUCUAGGCUACUGCAUAGAAGGAACACAUAGGUGUGUUAUUAACUUAUUCAAUACACCUAACUUCUAAUUUCUUGUGAUUCUUUCUAUUAUUUUAUUGAAUUAUGGUUUGUAUUUGCUUGAAUAAACUUAGGAUGCUUGUUUAUGAAUAUGUGGACAAUGGAAACCUUGAACAAUGGCUUCAUGGAGAUGUUCAGGAAUGUGGUGUUCUUACAUGGGAAGCUCGCAUGAAGGUCCUUCUUGGUAUUGCAAAAGCGUAAGUGAAUCUUUAUAAGUUGAAACUUCAUAAAAUUUCAAGAUUUUGAUCCUUUUUCAUCAAAACUGAUUUCACAGGCUUGCUUACUUGCAUGAAGCUAUAGAACCAAAAGUUGUGCAUCGAGACAUAAAAUCUAGCAAUAUUUUAAUCGACCAUGACUUCAACGGGAAACUUUCUGAUUUUGGAUUGGCCAAGCUUUUGGAUGCAGGAGAAAGUCACAUAAAUACAAGAGUUAUGGGAACAUUCGGGUAUGAAUAUAUGAUUAUGUUGUGUAAUGUGAUCUAAAAUAAGAGUGAUGAAAAACACCAAAUAACUUUUUUAUGUUGUAAUUUACAGUUAUGUGGCUCCAGAAUACGCGAAUACUGGCAUGUUAAAUGAAAAAAGUGAUAUUUAUAGUUUUGGUGUGUUGCUUCUAGAAGCAGUAACUGGAAGGGAUCCAGUGGAUUACAAUCGCUCUGCUAACGAGGUACUACUAAUGGAUUUGAUAUUGUAUAAUAAUUGUAUUACGGUUGAAAUGUUUUUUUUUUUAAUAUAUAUAAAAUAUAAGUAUUUAUUUUUUUGAACUAAUGGUAGGUGAAUCUUGUUGAGUGGCUUAAAAUGAUGGUGGGAAAUAGAAGAGCUGAGGAAGUUGUUGACCCGAGUCUUGACCCGAAACCCUCGACACAUGCUUUAAAACGUGCACUUUUAGUGGCACUUAGAUGUGUUGAUCCUGACUCUGAGAAACGACCUAAAAUGAGUCAAGUUGUCAGAAUGCUUGAUGCAGAUUUCCCAUUUCGUGAGGUACUUAUAACUUAUAAUCAUAAUGAUGCUGAAAAGACGAAACUACCCUCUGCUAGUAUGUUGUUUUGACCGAUGGUUGACUUUUGAAAACAGGAAAGAAGGAACAGGAGGAGCCGGACUGCCAGCAUGGACAGUGAAACCAUGGGUGGUACUGCUGACAUAGAACGCCCGGGCCCGGUGGUUAAAUCGGAAACCUAACAGAAUUAACAGAAAACCGUUAAAAGUUAACGGGUUGCAAUCGUUCUUGUUAGAUUACUAACAGGAGGGAGUGGUGGGGGUAUUUGAGUAAAAUUGAGAUGAAUGGAAGAGAGAUGUAAAUCACUUGUCACAUAACAAAGACAAAACAAGGGUCAAGGUUUAUUUAUUUCUUUUUCUUUUUCUUUUUCCUUUUCUUUUGUGUUGAUAAUAAUUAAGAUCAAUGAAGUUUUUGGCUCAAUUAUCUAUCUUAUUCCGUUUGGAUGGACAACUGUUAGUUGAUAUAAAUACCGUGUUGUUAAGUCGUUCCAACUUUUAAACAUUUUGUCUUUAUAUAUCUCUCUCGAUUUCUUUUUAGUAUAAUAUAUCCGGACAUUGUUCAAGUGGAAAAAGGAAAUAGUACCAUGAUCUCAUUUGCAUGUGUGUAAAGUUGGAAACCCAAUCACUACAGGUGUUCCAAGAUUGUAUUUUUGUAAUCAUGCCAAUCACAUUAUUAUGUUUUUCUUGUCUUGUAAUUACCUCAAUGAAAUCACAUUAUUUUGCUUUUAUUGUAAUCAAUCGUAUUACUUUUUCUAAUGUUAUAAUUCAUAUAAAUAACCAUCAUCGCAGGUGCUAGGAUGUGUGUUUUAAAGAUUCACUUACGCUUUUUAUUGACUUGGUAUACAAAUUUGGCAUUUUUUUUUUGUUCCGACUUGUCGUUAUAUGUUUGUAAUGUGACUUGUAGUAUAACAUGACAUUUAAAAUUAUUUAUGAAUAUUUGCUUCAAUAGAUAUCAUUUUUAAAGCUUUAAAUAGUUUUUUUAAUUGUCUGUCUAGCAUUCGUCGGCAAACCAAAUCUAAAUACAACAGCCAUCACCAAAACCCACAUCUAACCCUAUAACUCUAAACUAAAACUAAAACCAAAAAUAGAAUAAAAACAUCGUGUCCUUGGUAUGUAAUCGUGUACACGUGUUAUACCACGUGGUAGCUGACAGCACUAAUGUGCCAAAACAAUUCCAACUCAAUAUGCAAGUUGAUUGCUAGAUAAAAGAAUUAAGUAAGUUGCCGUUUUGAAAAAAAAUAUAUAUUUAUUCUGUUUGGAUAAAAUAUUUUCGGAAUAAAUAACAGGGAUAAUGAUUUGAAAGGGUAACGACAUUUCGACUUUGUUCACAUUUACUCACUAAAUUUUUUUUCGUUAUCUAUUUGCCAUUGAACUAUUGAAACUGUUCACAUUUUACCCUUAUGACCGGCUGUUACCGGUCAUAAGGGUAAAAUGUGAACAAUUUCAAUAGUUUAGUGGCAAAUAGAUAACGAAAAAAAGUUUAGUGACUAAAUAUGAAAAAAAUCGAAAGUUCGUUUCCCUCUAAAAUGUUCAAUGACUAAAUGUGAACAAAGUUCCUCUUAUAUUAUGUUUUAGCAAAUUAUUUAUUUUUGUUAAAUUGUAGCAACAUUUGUUGAUGAAGAAAUCUAUGAAAUUAAAAAAAAAACAAAACCCUAAAAAUAUAUUUAAAAAAAACAAAAAACCGAAACCGAAACCGAAAUAAAAAACCAAUGGUUUGACAUUUCCAAAAUAAAAAAUCAAAAUUUCCAAUCUGAUUUUGGUUUUACAAAAAAAUGAACCAUUCUUACUGAUGUGAAUUAUGACCAUUGGUUUGGCAUGCGGAAUUUGUGACAUCCCAUGAAUACAUAGUUACAACAUCGUCUGAACUCAUAACUCAUAGUAAGGGGUUAGAGUAUCAUCGCAUGAAUACGUAGUUACAACAUCGCCUGAACUCGUAAUCAGGGGUGAGCAAAAACCGAACCGCAAACCAAAAAUACCGAAAAAACCGCAUAAACCGAAACCGAAAAACCGAAAUCGAAAUGAAAACCGAUGGUGUGGUUUUUAGUUUUGCAAAAACCGAAAAUACUCGGUGNUAUAUAUAUAUAUAUAUAUAUAUAUAUAUAUAUAUUAAAUGUUGAUAUUCGUAAGAACCAAAAACUUAUGACAAUUAAAAUUUCUAUAAAUAUAAAUAUUUAUCUUAUCUAUCGAAUGAUGAUUGUAUAUUUUUAAGCAUACAUUCAAUGGUAUUUACAAUAACAAAUAAUGUUUAUGACAUUUUUUAACAUUUAAAUAUGAAGAGUACAACCAUUAAAGGGAUUGGAGUGGAAUUUCCAUUCCACGUAUCCGCACCCUAUCUCGCUGAAAUUUAGAUAUGUGAGCCCGGAAACACAUUUUUAUGAAUAUAUUAAUUGAUAUUAUUGUAUGUAUUUAUGAAAAAAAAUAUUAUAUUAAAUUUGUAUUAUAUUCAAGCAUUACAAACAUGUUGGAUGAGUGGUUAUGUAAUUUGAUUUCAAACCAAGAGGUGGUGGUAUCGGUUUAUCUCCAAAAAAUGAUUAGCACUCCUCAUCUGAGUCAAAUUAACUUGCAGAGUUACUUGAGUUUUAGUAAAAAUGCAAAACGAAAACCAAAAAAAAACUAACAAAAAACCGCAAAAAAAAAAAAAAAACCGAACCGAAAAAAACCGCAAAAACCGAACCGCAUAAAACCGAACGGUGCGGUUUCUAAAUUUCAAAAAACCGAAGUUGCGGUUUUCGAUUCGGUUUUGGCCAAAAACCGCACCAAACCGUAUCAUGCUCACCCCUACUCGUAAUUCAUCACCUACAGGUUAUGGGCCUGCUGGUGUUUCCAAUGGGUUGUCUAGAAUAGUCCGUGGUCGCCAUCUAUACUCUGGUAGAUGACUACAUCGCCACAUUGCCGGUUAAGGUUAUGGUAUCUUCUUUCAUCCUACAUCACAUAUUCAUCAUCAUCUAUUUAUCUAAUUAUCAUCACCUUUCAAUCAUCACCUAUCUCUCAUCAUUUUAUUUCAUCACACACCAACUAUUUCAUCUACCCAUGUUUCAUCCGCAACAUAUUUGUCGAUAUAAAAUAAAUAUACCGUUUAAAUCUUUUAAAACAUGUAUAAAAUCGUUCAUCCAGCAUAGACAGCAAGUAUUCAAAUAAUAUGCACACAUAGCACGUAAUUUAUAUAAAAUACUUCAUAUCUAUGUGUAAGAUGAAAGUAACUAUAUAUACCAUAAAAAUCCCAUAAAUGCUUCCUAACUUCAAACCCCAAGGUUUACUUUACUAAAGCUUCAUAUUCUCGGCUCUCUGGACCUAGAAGGGUCCAGAUCUAUAACACAAACUUGCAAGAGGGGUUUGAGGCAUUCAAAACCCCAAAGAUGAAGUGAUUCAAGCCCUAACCCCAAAAUGGAAUCUACACAAUAGGGAAGGAAAGAGGUUCAUUUUUGUACCUCAGAAUGAAGCUCCUUGCUUGAAUAACUCAGAACAAUAACCUUCCUUGGUCCCUCUUGCUGGAACUCUUCUCCUUUCUUGCAAAAUCACACCAAAAAGCUCAAGAUAGCUCUUCCUCUCACUCUACACACUCAAGCUCGCUAGGGUUCUUACUUAUGGGAAAGGUAGUCGCAAUUGAAGGCCAUAAGUGCCUUUAAAUAUGGCUCGGGCCCAAAGAUUUAGGGUUUCUGCCAACAGCGUGGACUCAUCGAGUCGCCUCACCGACUCGUCGAGUCCAUUCAUUAAUUCGAAUCAUCAGUCGCGACCUUACUCGACGAGUUGAGACGUCAACUCGUCGAGUCUCUCUUCUUAACUCAAAAGAAAAAUACUUAAAUUAUGAUACCUGGAAAUCUGGAUGUUACAUUUUGUUUUUUUUAUUUCAUAGAUUUCUUCAUCAACAAAUGUUGCUACAAUUAAACAAAAAUAAAUAAUUUGCUAAAACAUAAUACAAUAGGAAGUUUGUUCAAAUUUAGUCAUUGAACUUUUUAGAAGGAAACGAACUUUCGAUUUUGUUUACAUUUCGUUAUCUAUUUGCCACUAAACUAUUGAAACUGUUCAUAUUUUACCCUUAUGACCGGUAACAGUCGGUCAUAAGGGUAAAAUGUGAACAAUUUCAAUAGUUCAAUGACAAAUAGAUAACGAAAAAAAGUUUAGUGACUAAAUGUAAGCAAAGUCGAAAGUUCGUUACCCUUUCAAGUCAUUAUCCCUAAAUAACAUGUAUAAAAUAAAGAUACCUCCAUACAUGGAAUGAGGAAAUAAGGAUAAAUAUGUAAAACUUCAACGGGUGCUUGGGAUUCCUUUUAGAAUGACUUUCACUUUUAACUUUUCAAAAGAAAUAAUAAAUAAAUAAAUAAAGUUAAAAGGUGUUUGGGUAAUAGAAAAGUUUUUUUGAAAAAAAAGUUUAUAAAAAUCACAAAAAUAUGACUUUUAGUUAUUUUACAUGUAAAAAUUAAACAAAACACUUUUUAAAAACAACUUUUGGCUUUUGCUCCUCAAAAGCUAAUCCAAACUCAUUUUAAGAAACUCCUUUUGCAAAAAAUCUUUUUACAAAAAAAAAAACUUUUGAUGUUGAAAAAUAAUCCCAAACACCCUCUAGGACUUAAUAGGAAAAGAUGCGCAUCCGUUGUUUUCUCUAUUAAGUCGUUACAUUAAGUGAAAAAAAUAAUAAAAAAUAUAGAUCAUUCUGAUUAGUAAAAAAUAAGACACGAUCUGAAACUGAUUACCAAAAACAGUGAAUUCAGAGUAGCCUCAACUCAAGUUAGUUAGCAAAUAUAAACUUUCACACUAUAACAUCAUAUUUUUCACACAUGAUUGAUUGGUUUCAGUUUGAGCCUAUAAGAAAGAAAACAGUAAACACAAGAUCAAGGUUGAUGGUGGUAUGAAUCGGUUGUUUGUUCGGGUGGUUGUGUAUCAUCUGAUUGUCUAAACGCAGGAACAUCCGGAUAAUACGCACUUCCUUCCUGCUGUUGCUGCUGACUCUCAUUCCCCUGCACAAACACCGGAAUAUCAUUCCCACUCCCAUUCCCUUGAGUGUCAGCAGAGAUUUCCCUGACAUCCGCUAUUCUUGCUUCUGUUGCCUCUAUAUCAUUCCAUUCCCCACUUUGAUCAGGGUACACCAAACUCCUUUCCGACACCGGAAUAUUCCUUGAGUCACUAAGGCUCGCCUUAUCCACAUUCUUCACCGUUGGAUGCACAUGUUUCGUGAGGGGUUGCGUAUCACCAGAACAUGACUCGACUCUCUCCUCAAGCACUUGCUUUGUAUUCUCCUGCUGCCUGCUGACAAAACACAACUGCCACGUCAGCAACAUGGGUGGGUAAGCAAAUCACAAUGUCCACAGAGCAACCAAGGUUAUGCCCAGAUAAACUAUAUAUAUAUAUAUAUAUANNNNNNNNNNNNNNNNNNNNNNNNNNNNNNNNNNNNNNNNNNGUUUAGUUUCUUGAGUAAAUUACAUUUUCAGUCCCCAUGUAUACAACUGCUUUUGGUCCCAAAAUGUUGGUCCUUAUUUUGAAAUUUCCUAAUGAAUUUGGUCCCUGCAUUGACCAAGCUAAACAGCCUAGUUAUUAAAUAUAUCAAAAUGACCAUUUUACCCUUGGAUCAAAAUUGAAGAAAUAGCAUACAGACCAAAUUUGUAAAUUUCUCUUAUUAUUUUUUAUUAAGGUUUUAUAAAAUUCAAUAUGCGCAUAUAACUUUUAAUGUUUUUAGGGUAUAUUGUAAAUUGAAUUAUUUGUUGAUAUAUUAAUUAGAAUUAUUUUAUAUAUUAAUAUACCUUGCUAUUUUAAAAUACAUUAUUCUUUUAUUAUAUACCUUGUACAUGGUGUUAAUAUAUUUCAGAAUAUAAAGUUAUAUUAAUAUAUAAAUAAUUUCAGAUUAAUAUAUAAUUCAAUGCAUAAUAUACAUAAUAAUAGAAGAUUUAAAAAUCAGAUGCACAUAUGAAAUGUUAUGAACCUUAAUUCAAAACAAGAGAAAUAUACAAACUUGGUCCCUGUAGUAUACUGCUUUUUCUUUUCCAGUUUUGGUCCAAGGGCAAACUGGUUAUUUUAAAAAAAUUUAACAGCUUGACUGAUGACUUAAAUGGCACAGGGACCAGAAUCAUUAGGAAAGUUAAAAAUAAGGACCAAGUUUUCAAGAUAACUUUUUGGGACCAAAAAUGCAAAGAAAUAUCUAUACUUAGGGACCAAAAAUGUAAAGUACUCUAGUCUCUUAAUAAAACCUUUUAAGUUGUAGUUGUAGAACAUGAAUGCAUGCCAAAAGCUCUUGAUUCUCUUUUCUCAGGACACUUUCUUUCUCUGUUGCCUCUUUUAUUACAGCUUCAGCUUCAGCAUCUUUAACCCUAACCUUCUCUUCAGCUCUCACAACAGCUCCUUCUAGAAUCACUACACGUUCCCUAGCUUUUCCCAGCUCAGACCUCCAUAAAAGCGCCUCUUGAUGAGAAGAGUCUCGUUGUUUAAUAAGUUGCUCUCUUUCUUUACUUAAAACCAUUAUUUUCUCUUCAGAAUCUCUUAGCUAUAAAAAAAAACCAAAAUUUCAUUUUUGGUUAAAAUCAUCAUAUAACUUAGUAUGCUUCUUUAUGUAAACAUAUAUAAACAAAAACCUUUGAAGUGUAAGAAAUGGCUUGUUUUUCUAACUCCUUUCUUAAGCGGUCAACUUCUGAAGCUGCCAGUCUUCGUUGCUCAUCCAUUGUAUGAGCUGCAGAUGCUGCACUCUGUGCAGCAUCUGCUGUUUCAGUUAGCUUUUCUGCUAUCUCUUUUAUUGUUGAAUCCCUUGCACGAAUAUCCCUUGAUAAAUUUUGCAGCUCCUCAUCUUUUACUUUUAAUGUCUCCUGUAAGUAAAAAUACCAAUUUAUAUAAUCCUUUGUUUUUGAAGGAUUGAUUUAAAAAUACCAAAUUAUAUAUACCUUCAUGAUUGUCAAAUCAUCCAAUGGGGCAUCAGGUGCUUUGUUCAACACAGAUCCCAAAGCAUUUCUUCUUGCAAUCUGCAUGGCAGCUUCAAUUUCUUUGGAGGAUUCAAGGGCAGUUGAAUUUGCAGCAGUCACAACAGCAGAUACUGUUCCUAGUUUUGCAGAACUAUUUCCAGCUAAUGAGUUCACAGCCUCUUUAUGAGCCCUUAAUACCAGUUGUGUUGCACUGUUGUUUGUGUAAAGGAUAAAAACAUACAUCAGUAACCUAACUUUUUUGUUAAAUUUUUAUAAAAGGAUUGAAUAACUUACUGCAAUGUCGCCACCCAAGCUCUAGCUGCACCUGGAGUUUCUGCACAGAGGAAAUAUUCUUUUUUCUGUGGUGUUGCAAUAUCUAAUAAUAUCAAGUCAGGGGAAUACAUGCAACAGUUUCUUUCAUAUUUGAGAUAUUGUAACAAAAUAAAUAUGUGAAUGAAUGAACAUUGCUGAAUCUUUUUGUCAUAAUAUUAGCAUAUGCAAUACAGAAAUAAUGGUGGAUACAAAUAAUGCAGUUGUCAUACUUCGGUAGUCCACUGAAAGUUUAAAAAAAAUGUAUAUAUUAGAUUAGAAUCAUGAUAAUCAUCCAAGUUAGAGCAUAUGUAUUUCAGAUUCAUGGCAUGGUGUUCAGUAGUGAUCUUACUGGAAGUUAUAGGGUGAUGUCAUUAUUGUGCUAUUUGAAUCAAAGACAAUUGUUCCUUUGACAGUUGGAUCGUUUCUCCUGAUUCUGCAGAUGAUUAUAUUUGUUAGAAAUAGGCAGAUGCUUCAAUGAAAGAAAGUAUAUGAUCUUACUUGUAUUCCAUUUUUCCUGUUGUUGGGUCUAAGAUUAUCCAUCUCUCAUUCCAUUUCCUCAGCUGUUACCAUAAAACAGUUGAAGCUAGAGGUCAGAAAAACAGCUAAAUAAUAGUAACCAUUAUUCUUUUAAACUCAUCACAAGUUAAAUUAUAAUUGUUAUAUGUGUAUGACUGUAUGUAUAUAUACAUAGACACAUACAUACAGCUAGAUUUGGUAGGUUGUUGGGUUUUUUAGCGUAGCAAACAAAAGGUCAUUUUAUUUCUAUUUACUCUUCUUGCUCUACUGAUCAGAUAACACAGCAAGCUGCCUUUUUUUUAUCUUAGCAAUCUUUAUCAUUAUCUUAAGUUUCCUGAAUCAUCUUUUUCUUCAAAGAAAAAUUCAUACUUGUGGAUCACCAAAUCUAGCUAUCACAUAAAUUGAUCAUAUAAGAUCACAAAUGAGAAAAUAACAAGGCAUAGAAGAACAGGAUAAUUAUAGAUCAUAACUUCUUAUGCUUGAUUAAUCAUACACCAUAAGAUGACAAUGUUAAACAUUACAAUAAUUAUUUGAUCGUUUAUCCCAUGUUGCAAAUCAAAACAUGCACCUUAACACUUGAAGCUAUUUUUUACUUGAUUCUUCUUUAAUGGUGCACGAACUUGGGCCAUCUAUGGUUAUUUUCAAUUGCUUACUGUGUUGUCAAUUCUAAUGAUUAUUGUGUCAAGCAAAUAAAAGAUAUCAAGUCAAUUUAUACAAACGAAUUGCUUGAAUUAUAUGAACAAGGUAUAUAGUAGUUGUCAAAAUCAUGGGUUCAUAUAAUGACCAUGUUAGGAUAUUUAAUAUUAUGUCAAGUUCAUACACCUUUGAAUGUUCUAAUGCACCUAAAUUUCAAGAUUCAAGAGCGAAUUUCAAAUGCAUGGGAGAAUGAUGAGACGCCAUGAAAUUGUUUCAUUUAUCAAGCAGUCCAUUGUUCUUGAUCUUGGGAUAAAUCUCAUAAACUAUAGCUUCCAUCAAAUAUUUGGGGAUUUAGAAUUCUACUGUUUCCCAGUAAAGUUAGGGUUUUAUUUCCCUGCAAGUCAAGUCAUAAUCCACAAGGCUUCAUAAUUUCCUUGCCACGGGAUAUACAGUUUGCUUAAACUAUUGGAAGGAUUCUCUUUCUAUUGAGUAAUCAAUCUAUCCCAAAUUUGAUUGUUUUCAUCCCUCUCACGGCAUUUAACUAUAUAAGAGUGUUACUUCCAAAAUUGCAUUCUGAUCGCGAAAUUACUUUAAAACCUACCCAGUCAUCCAGAUUUGAUGCCAUAAGGUAAAUUAGGGAAGGAACAAAAAACAAUCGAGCUAAUUCUGUAGUUGAAUAAUGAAGUCAAUUUCAAAGUAAAAGGGAUGGAGAAUCAAUUAAGUACCGUUUCAGAUCGCUUGAGAAGAGGACCCUGCAAGAGAUUUCUACCCGACCCAGAUGCCAAUUGUCGUUUAAUCUUAUCCAAACUGGCCUCUGUGGCAUUAACCACAUCUCCAUCUCUCUAAUAGAUGCAAGUAAAACAUCCAAAUUCGAUCAAAACCGAACUCAAUCAGAAAAUCAUGGAAAAGGACGAUCCAAAAACAGGGAAGGAAAGAAACUGACCGGAGAAGAAGCCCCAUUGGUAGCCAUAGUAGUAAAGAUAAUUUGUCAGCUGGUCUCCUGAGGGAGAAGAGAUGAAUCCGGACUCAGAAAUGAAUGAUGAUUCUGGUGAUCUUGAAGGGUGUGUUGUGUUAGGUUUAUGACUUGUAGUUGUAGUUGUUAGUUUUUUCACACUUGCUAGAUCGAUAUUCGAUACCGUAACGGUGGUUCCUUUUCUGCACCGCAAGGGGGUGUUGUGCCGUAACAGAUGGUGCUAAUAAUAUAUGUCGUGACUCGUGAGUCUAGUCAUUUUUCUACAAAAAAGAGUUUCUUUACCAAUUUAAAUCAACCAAAUUCUACAUAAGUGUAGAAUCAAAUUGUGCCAACAUAAUUAGUUAAAUUUGAGAUAUUAAUAAAAAGUUAAAAAUACUAUUUUGUCAAUGAAAACAUAUAACACAUUUAUGGUUCCACUUCACAUGUUUAUGUUACAAAAAACAUAAGUUUACAUCGUAAGAAUCAAUAAUAAUAAUAAUAAUAAUCAAUAAUUACUAAAUGUAUUAUAAAAGAGAGAGUCUUUGAAAAUAAAAUGUCAUCUCAAAAUCUUAAAUUUUAUAUGAGAGAUGGAUUUAUAAUAGAUGAGUUUUAGAAUCAAAUUUUAUUUGGAAUUUUAUAUGACAUAUGGGUUCAAAAAUAACAAACAAAAAGAAUUAUUGUACAACAAUACCACCAAACAUCAUUUAGAUUUAAAAAUUGUGUGUGGAUUUUAUGUGAUUUUAAGGAAAAAAUGUAGGAAUAGAGUUUUUGUGUAUGUGGUUCCUGAUUUGAUUCAGAAGGGGUAAAACAAGGUUAUGCAAUUGAGAUUGAAAGGGGAGAAAUGUGUGUUUCAUUGAAGAAAAAAGAGAGUUUGAUCUUCUUGUUCCUUCACAAAAAUACACAUACAUAAUAACCUACAUAAUAAACAUGAUUAUUUCUUUCAUUUUUGGUAGCAUGCAGAAUAUUCUAUGAGAAUUUUUCAAUCUUUGUUAUGUUUGCUUUAUUCUCACAGAUAUUAUUUAAGAAUGUGCAUUGAUAUUCUUUAAGAAUGUAAUUUCUUCAAUUCUCACAAAAUAUUUGUUAUUUUUUAAGAAUGACAUUACAUAUUUCCUAUAAUGUUCAUAUUCUCAAACAAUGUUAUGCGAUUUGUGAAAUUAUAUCUCAUUCUCACCCAUUCUCACAUAAUAUUUCAUAUAUGUCACUAUUUUUAUGGUUGUAGUUAUUUAAGAAUGAUUUUAAUUCUUAAAAAAUGUUAUUUUUGUUUCACGUAAAUUCUUCAUUCUUUAAAGAAUGAAAUCGAAUGAAGAAUCACAUAUUAGAGAAUGAAAUCGGAAUGCAUUGAUUUUUAUACUUGAAAUUAAUUGGAACUUGAAAAAAAAGGUCAAAUAUGAAUCUAAGAAAAUCUCCCUUUCCAUAAUUCAAAAAAUAUAUAAAAAAAAUCUAUAUUACCCUUUAAAUGGUUUAAUUUAGAAAGUUAAUAUUUUUUAUUUAAAAUAUAAUAAUAUUCAAUUAUAAAUCACAACCGUUGACAUUGAAAUUUUAAUGAUUAGUAUUUNNNNNNNNNNNNNNNNNNNNNNNNNNNNNNNNNNNNNNNNNNNNNNNNNNNNNNNNNNNNNNNNNNNNNNNNNNNNNNNNNNNNNNNNNNNNNNNNNNNNNNNNNNNNNNNNNNNNNNNNNNNNNNNNNNNNNNNNNNNNNNNNNNNNNNNNNNNNNNNNNNNNNNNNNNNNNNNNNNNNNNNNNNNNNNNNNNNNNNNNNNNNNNNNNNNNNNNNNNNNNNNNNNNNNNNNNNNNNNNNNNNNNNNNNNNNNNNNNNNNNNNNNNNNNNNNNNNNNNNNNNNNNNNNNNNNNNNNNNNNNNNNNNNNNNNNNNNNNNNNNNNNNNNNNNNNNNNNNNNNNNNNNNNNNNNNNNNNNNNNNNNNNNNNNNNNNNNNNNNNNNNNNNNNNNNNNNNNNNNNNNNNNNNNNNNNNNNNNNNNNNNNNNNNNNNNNNNNNNNNNNNNNNNNNNNNNNNNNNNNNNNNNNNNNNNNNNNNNNNNNNNNNNNNNNNNNNNNNNNNNNNNNNAAAUAUGAAUCCUAAGUAUUGUGUGAAUGUGUAACUAAAUUGUAGCCAUUAGAUUAAACUAAUAAAUGAUUAUGAUCUUAGGAUACAUAGUGUUAACAUGGGGAUAACAUACACUAUAUAAUUAUAAUUAAUUAAUUCUAACAUUAUUGGCUAAGAAUAAAUGUGGAAUUAAUUAUUUUUUAAUAAAUUUUUUAGUCAAUUUACGGAUAACACGCUUCAUAAGGGAAAUUAUAACAUUUUAUCAUAAUUUAAAUUUGGAAGUGUCAUGUAAUCUAGGCAAGGUUCUAAAAAGCUCGCCAUGGCUCCGCCAUGGCACGCCACGACUCCAAGGCUUGCACCUGCCGCCAAGCUUUGCCAAAACGCCGCCUUAACUCAUAUAUGUGUAUAAAUAUGAAUAAUAGUUGAAAAUACAUAUAAAAAUAUUAAUUAUAUAGAAAAUUGCCGCCUUAAGUCACGCCUUACAAAUGCCAUGACUCGCCAAGGCUCGGAAAAGCUUGAGGCUUGACAUUGCCGCCAAGUCACGCCUUACGUUAUUUAGAACCUUGAAUCUAGGUAUACUUCGUUUUUUCUAUCCGUUAUCUGUCAUUUGAAUUCUCAUCCACUACAUUCUUGCUAACAUAAAUCAAAUUAAAACGAUUUCUUUAGAAAUCAUGAACAUCAACAAAAAUUAAGAAUUAAAGGUAGACGAUCAAGUUUGAGGCUUCGAGAUAAUUUCAAAAUGAAGUUUAAAAUUACAUCUGAUUUCGUUCACAAAUGCAUCUAAUGCACCUUUAACUUUGGGGUUCGAAAAGGAUUUCGUAGCUCUACCACCGAGUUUGUUAUUUACUGUAUUCUUCAAGAAUGAAUAUUAACAAUUUAGUAUUGGUGUAGGGUUUUUAGUUUUUCAUUUUUAAAGGAUUAGAUGUUACAAUCCAUUAAAAACAUACAAAAAACAUCCUAACUGAUACUUACAAAGGUUUAUUCUACAAGAAUUUUGGCAUAUUGAAAAAUAUGAUUUUUAAACAGAUGAUUCUUCAAGAAUAUAGGUUAAGAACCUAACUUGUUAAGAACCUAACUUGUUAACAGAAUAUGGUUUUUCAUCUCUAUUAACAAAGUAGGGUUUUCAGUUUUGCUAAUAGUUUUACUUGAUUACUUUUUGAUUGUGUAGAAAAAUAUAGUGAAUGAUUUGUUAAAAUAACAUGUUCGUAAGGUUAGGUUUAUCUGUUUGUAUGUUUGUAUGGAUGUGGUUUAGAAUAUUUUAUUCUUGAAGGUUUAGGGCUUUUAGUUUUUCUAUUUUUAAUAACGAGAUGUUAAAAUUCAUUAAAGAUUUAUAUACAUAAACUUUUCCUAAUUUAUACUUAUAAACGCUUAUUCUGUAAGAAUUUUGGUAUAUUAAAAAAUAUGAUUUUUCAACAUUUGAUUCAUCAAGAAUGUAGGUUAACAUUGUUAACUUGUUGAUAGAGUAGUGCUUUCAUCUUUGUUAAAAUAGUAGGGUUUUUGUUUUUCUAAGAAUUGUACAUGAUUACUUCUUGAUUACGAUGAAAGAACGAUCGAAUGUAAUAUGUUCCUAUGGUUGCGUUUAUCAGUUGGUAUAGAUUUUAUUUAGAAUAAUUUUUAAGAAAGACUAACACAUUGAGCAAGAUCUAUUCUUUUAGAAUGUGUUUGGCUGUAAAAGUUGUAACUAGUUUCAUCAUAUUGGUUAAAAAUUAUUGUGAUGUCAGAAUUAUUAUUUGUUGAUAAUAACAAAACAUUAUAAUGUACUUUGAGCACAUUAUACAUUCUUAAAGCAUGUAACAGUUAGUUUAAUCCACAUGUAUAUGAAAAUGAUUUGUAAUUUGAAUAAAAUGUUAAUUAUUUGGUUUAAUUACCUUACAAAUACAUGCAUAGAUUUACUGAUCUUAUCAUUCCCAUAGUGUACUACCUAUUACAAAUACAUGCACAUACUUAUUUACAAUAAUAAAUAUUUUUUGCGUGUGAUAUUGGAAAUUUGUUUGACAAACCAUUCUUUAAUAACAAAUGUAUUACAUUAUAAUGUAUUAUUUAAGAAUAUACACAACUAUGCUUGGACGUUACUAAGAAAGAAUGAACUUAAACAAUUAUAUAAUUAUUUUGAGAUAAUAAUAUAAAAUUGUUGAAAUUGUAAUAAUCUUCUUAUAAGAAAAGCAAGAUGUGCAAAAUAUAUAAAAAAAUGUAACAAAGACAUUAAAACAAAAAUCUCUUUCGAAUGAAACCAAAACUUGUAUGAUUAUUUGUUCUUAAAAAGACAAUUUCUACUAUCAUGAUCAACAUUACUUGCAAUUUUAACAAUAUCUCUUCCUCUCUGCAACUCCAAUUAGAAACAUUUAUUUCUUAUUUUUCCAUCUUUGUUAACGACUUACACAUCCUUCUUCCUAAUACUAUAUGAUUUUUGUAUUUCCACUACCAACUUCUUAUAUUUUGCUUCGUUGUUGACCAUCAAAUGCUUUAAAAAACCAUCAUCAACUUUGCCUUUCAUACUCUUAAAUAGNNNNNNNNNNNNNNNNNNNNNNNNNNNNNNNNNNNNNNNNNNNNNNNNNNNNNNNNNNNNNNNNNNNNNNNNNNNNNNNNNNNNNNNNNNNNNNNNNNAUAGCUUUAUAGUUCUAUUAUGUUGUUAAUAACAUUAAAUAAAUUCUUUAAUAACAAUCUAACAUAACCAUUAGAAACCAAGAUUAUAAACACUAUCACAAUCUAUAAGAAUAGAAUAAAAACUAUGAGUAUAGAGAACAUUAUUAAAGAAUGUGUUUUAACAAUAUAUUAUCAUAUAUUUUUCUAGUAAAAUUGGUAAUAUAAAGACAUUCUUGAUAAAAUAUGUUAAGCACUAUCACAUUCUCUAAGUAUUUGAUAACAUCUUGUAAUAAUGUUAUUACAACUAAGAAUAUAGAGAAAAUUCGUGAAGAAUGUAGUUAGAGAUAUGGUAUCGUAUAUUCUUUCAGUAAAACUGAUACUAUAAUAGACAUUCUUGAAGAAAUUGUAGAAUAAACACGCCCAACUGAAAAACCAAAACCCAAAAUCAAAAAUACUUUUGACAUAAAAAACAAUCUAUCAGAAUAAACUUUAAUAGUAAUAGAAAAAUUAUUAAACAAUACACAAUAAAUGUAAAGAAAAAGAAACCAAAGAUUACAUUGCUUCACUAUUUUGGAAAUCUUUAGUCUCGUGAACCAUGUUGCACGCAAUAUCCAUAUGAGAUUCUUCAUUGGGCAUAUUCUUAAAGAAUUUGUUAAAUAAACACGCCAUAAUAUGUCAUCUUCUUCGUUACACAUGCCAUCCUCUUCUCCGAAACCCUAAAGGUAUUAAAAAUAGAUGAUAAUUGAUAGUUAGCUUUAUUUACUUCUUUUUAUAGUUUAUUUUAGCAUAUUUCAUCCAUAAUCUAGUUAAUUUUCAUGCAUAUUUUCCUUUUUGUUAUUUUAUGACUAUUUUGGGCACUUUCUAGUUGCGUGAGCUUUAUUGUAGAUUUCAUGGAGACUAGUGGAGCGGGAAUGUUCGGGACGUAUGGAAAGCGAUGGGAAUUGGUGGAAAACAAGGAUCUUAGGCUUGAUGGGUGGUGGAGAUGAUGCAUGGAGCGAGCCUGAUGAUUAUUUGAAGGCUUGGAGAGAAAUAAACAUUUAAAUUUGCAAGAUGCGGGAGUAUAUUCAAGCAUGCAUAGAUUAUUAAUCGGGCGAGUUUACGAGCUAUGAAUCAUUUGGAGAAGCCAAAUUGGGCUUAAAUUGAAGAAAACUUGAAGAAAAAUGGGAUAGGAGCUGAUUGGGCUCGCACUGGGCCAAGUGGGCUAAGCUAUGGAGGCCCAAAACCUCAAAGAUGCUACAUUCAGGGACCACCCGCGCAACAGCACGCGGGUCGCGCAACCUCCUGCAGGGGCAAUUUCGAAAAUCCAUUUGGAAGGCUAUUUGAGGAAGGUUGGUGCCCAUAUUUUGGAGACUCUUGGACAUCCGAUUUUUGGAGAUUCUCUCUGGAGUUUUGAAGACUUUUGAAGGCCAAGAACACUUGAAGAACAUCAUAUUUUUACCUCUUGAUUCUUGCUUAAUGUUUGGUACAAUUUUCUCUAACUUUGUUUCUUUGGGUUUAGCCAUGCUUGGCUAAACUAAUCUUGGUUGACUUUUGGUUAAUCCUUUGAACUUUUGUUGAAUGUUGAAGAAUCCAUGAACAUGUUCUUAAAUCUUUAUGGGAAUGUUUUGUGUUUUAACAUCUUAUCACUACUUGUAUGUUUUAGUUCAUGAGUUUAAAUGUGUUUGUGGUGAUUAGUUGGCUAAUUUCUUGAUUAAGUAAAGGAUCCUCAAAUUAGCAAGCAACAAAUGAUUUUUGUGUUGUUUUUGCUUCACACAAUCAUAAAAACAUUUCCUCCAACAUGGUGGUGAAAGCAUUUGACCCCUCUUGGAUUUGGUGACUUUUUGGUUCUUAAUGCUAGUUGACUUUCACUAAUUACAUGCUAUUUGGAAUUAGUGACUUUGACUAAGGAAAUUGUUAUGAGCUUCUCUAGCCAUUUCAACAAUUAAGAAAAGUCUAGGUAAUCUCAAGCUCCUUGGAUUACUAUAGCCAAAUUAAGGAUUUAAAUCAAAGUAUUGCACCAUUGGAUUCUAAUGAUAUGUUCAUCAAAAGUCAAAGUGAGGAAACUUUAAGUCAACCAUCUCUCCCUUAUUGAUUUUACAUCAAACUCUUAUUUUUGUUGCAUUUGUCUAUUUAAAUCAUAGUUAAUUCUAGUUUGUUUCAAGUAUUUCAAAACACCAAAACCCCCCAUUUUAUUUUUAUUGUCAUUUUACAAGUAUUUUUACAAAGAGAUUUUUCAUAGAGUUAUAAAUUGAACCAAUCUCCGUGGAUUCGAUCCCUUUACCACUAUACACUAUUUUAGUGUGUAAUAUUUAGGGUUAUUAUUUGUGUUGGCCUCGACAACCACCAAAUUUUUGGCGCCGUUGCCGGGGAUUGGUUUNNNNNNNNNNNNNNNNNNNNNNNNNNNNNNNNNNNNNNNNNNNNNNNNNNNNNNNNNNNNNNNNNNNNNNNNNNNNNNNNNNNNNNNNNNNNNNNNNNNNNNNNNNNNNNNNNNNNNNNNNNNNNNNNNNNNNNNNNNNNNNNNNNNNNNNNNNNNNNNNNNNNNNNNNNNNNNNNNNNNNNNNNNNNNNNNNNNNNNNNNNNNNNNNNNNNNNNNNNNNNNNNNNNNNNNNNNNNNNNNNNNNNNNNNNNNNNNNNNNNNNNNNNNNNNNNNNNNNNNNNNNNNNNNNNNNNNNNNNNNNNNNNNNNNNNNNNNNNNNNNNNNNNNNNNNNNNNNNNNNNNNNNNNNNNNNNNNNNNNNNNNNNNNNNNNNNNNNNNNNNNNNNNNNNNNNNNNNNNNNNNNNNNNNNNNNNNNNNNNNNNNNNNNNNNNNNNNNNNNNNNNNNNNNNNNNNNNNNNNNNNNNNNNNNNNNNNNNNNNNNNNNNNNNNNNNNNNNNNNNNNNNNNNNNNNNNNNNNNNNNNNNNNNAAUUAAAUUAGGAAGUGAUCGUAAGAGAAUAACUUGUUUUAUUAAUAGUGAGGGUUAUUUCUUAUAUAAAUAGAGAUACAAAAGUGACAUAACCUAAUCCCUAAUCACUAACAUCCCUCGCAGUUUGACCGGAAUGAAACGAUCAAACUGAAGAAAAAAACAUAGAUGUAGAUAGCGACAACGAUGGUGGCAGGGCUCGAGCGAUGACAGCUAACAACGACUACUCGUAGUAGUCGAAGAAUAAGAGAGAAGAAGCGAUGACCAAAGACCGUUUUGUUGUAGAAGAAAAAAAGAGUCAGCAGCGGCGAAGAUCAUGAAGUUGGCGAAUGAGGAGUCUGGAGAAAGGCAGCAAAAAAUAAAGAGAGGUCGAGUUGCGGCGGAUAAAAGGAUCAGAGGCAGGGGUCAUCCGAGGAGGAGAUAGAAGGCUGGUAGGUAGAUGUCAUCCAAGGAAGAGACAAAAAUAGACGAGGCAAUAGAAGAAGCCAAAGAAGGAGCUCCGAUUUAAGGACGACAACUGUAUUAUUAUUUAAGAGGAAAAAGACAGAAUAGGAAAAAUAUUGAAUCUAAUUAAGGCAACUCCGACGACUAUUAAAGAAGGUCGUCGAUGGUGAAGGACAACGACUAUGGUUUGUGGUCAACAGUAAGGUUUUAACAUAUAACUCUAAUAUCAUAUAAGAAAAUAUAUUGAUUGAUUAAUAGUAAGGGUUAAACAAUAAAAAUACAAAAGUGGACUAACUUCGACUCUAAAAGUUAAAUUCUAAUCACUAGAAUGAUUUGAUUUUUUAUUUUAUUUUGCAUUUUUUUUUGUAAGUUAAUGAAAUGUUUUAGUUAUUAUUAAUUUAAUAUUGAUUUUUUAUUUGGUAAAUCAAAUGAUUUAAUUUAGAAUUAUUAAUAUAUGUAUUUUUUAAAAAAUAAAUGGGAGAUGAAAGAUGGACGAGGAGAUGAAAUGAAAAUGGACAUGACAAGUAGACAUGUAAAAUGCACCCAACGACGCGAAUAUGAGUUUAAAAAUCCAAAAAAGAAAGCCCUAAUUGAAUCGACAACAGUGAGCAAGACAGCAGACCCGUAAACCCCCUCGCCGAUCGCCGGCGACUGCUCCGCCUCUGCUCUAUUUUCGCUUCUACCCCUAUCGCUUGCCCCGGCGUCUGUUUGGUUCUCUCUGCUGUGGGCAUCGUCUCUCCUUGUGUGACGACACAGGUUGGUUUGCAUUUUACAAGUGGAGUAUAAUGUUUCUGCACUGUUAAAAUUUAAUAGCUAAUAUGUAUUUAUUCAUGUUACGAUACGCAAUUCCUGAUAAUUGAUUUGAAAUACUUACGAAAAUUUCUUACUCUAAAGCUUCUGAUACUUAUGUCAUUCGAGAAUUAGUACUUUGAUUGAACUUGUUACCGAUUGUUGAGCGCUCUCUUAAUUUUCUAAAAAAUUCCGAGUCAGACUGCUCUCUACUUUUAUACAUUCUGUAGAUAAAUUUUCAAUUGAGUUGAUUUAAGUGUGGAUCAGAUGCCAGCUUGGAUUCUGUCUGCUCCAUCUUAUAUAAAAAUAUAAUGUGUCAGAUCGGAUUGAACAUUACACUUGAAAUGAAAACAAUAGUUUUAGUUGUUUUAGAAACCCAUAUAAUAUUCGAUAAACUCCAAUAAUAAUUCUUUUUCUACAAUUUGAUUAUGGAAAUCAGAUAAUGGAACAAUCACCCAUUGAAGGAAAUUCUUCAACACCAUCAACUCCAACUACUGCACCUCCUUCAGUUGUCAGCAUUGAUUCAAUGCAUGGCUCUGACCUAGAAAAUCAUGUUAAUUCCCAUGGCUAUGUUGCCUCCAUCCCUUCACUUUCAUACAAUGUGCCUCCAAAUGCUUAUAGAAACUCUGACUCUGAGAGCCCUCGUCAAUCAUCAUCCACCACUGUUAGUGAAUCCCCCUGCACUUAUUAUCUUUUCUUCUGCUUGCUUCAAGUGUUUUAACUUUUAACCAAUUACUUCGUUACCCAAAUAUUGUUGCAAACUUUUUCUGCAUAUUGUCAACUAACUUUCGAUUAUAGCUGCAGGAAAUGAUAAAUUCACCAGGCUCUUCACCAUUUCCAAGACCUCAAGUUCUUGGUGUUUCUUCAUCUUCAUAUAACAUUCCACAAACCGACAUUCCUUCAUCCGGUGGUCAUCAGUCCACCAAAAAAAAGUCAAAGCAAUGGAGCAUCGAGGAAGAAGUCGCAUUAGCCAAAGCUUGGGUCGAUGUUUCAAAAGACCCAGAAAUUGAAAAUCGGCAACAAUCCGAUUCAUUUUGGAGGCGAAUUCUUGAAUGUUUUAGCAAACAAUUAGGAGGUACUGAUCGAACUGUCCAUCAAAUGAAUUCAAAAUGGAAGAACAUGCACGAGAAGAUGAAGAAGUUCAACGAUAUCUACAACAACAAACUGACACAACGCCGAAGUGGUCAAUCAGAAGCCGAUAUAUUGCUGUUAGCACAAACCGAAUACAGGAACCUUUUUAAAAACAAGGCGUUUUGUCACGAGGCGGCAUGGGGGAUUAUCAAAGACAACCCUCCGAAAAAGACGAAGACAUCUGAAUCAAACACUAACACUACUUCUGUGGAUGACAAAUUUCCCGAAGAGGAUGAAGGGUUUAAUGUUGAACAGCCGCAAAAACCGCAACGAAAGGGGAAUAAACCGGCAUCGUCAUCCUCUGAACAACAACAACAACAACAAAGGGAUGAACAACUGGUAAGGAUCGUUUCUGAAUUUACUGAAUUUAGUAAUGUUAACAAACAAGAUGUGGAGGAUAAAAAACGGCAUCGAGCGAAACUAGAGGAGUUCAAGGCGGAGAAGUUACGGAUCAUGGAGGAGGAAAAAGAAGAGAGGGUGCGAAUGAUGCGGGAGAAACGACAGGAUAAAGAUAUGCAGUUUUAUCUUCGACCGCAUGAUCAUUUGGCUGGGGCACAGUUGAAUGCAGUAUUAGCACGCAAGCGUGAAAUAGCACAACGUUGGGGUUGGGAAUGAAAUGUUUUUAUGUACUUUUUAGUGAAAUAUUUAGUGUGUAUUUAGUCUUGUAAUUUCUGUUUCUAUAUUUAAUGAAAUGUUAUCAUAAUUAGUUUUAUAUUUUUUAUUACUUUUUUUUUUAUUAAAACAAAGUUGUGGUGGGCGGGAUGGAAAGAUGAUAAUUUUUUGUGGCAGCGUGAUUGUUUUGAGAUGGGACGGAAAGAGAAAAGUUGAUGAUGUGUUGUUAUAUGGUCUAUGGACAUGGUGAUGCACAUUGAAUUGAAAAAUGUAAUAAAAGAUGGAGGUUGUGAUAUGAAGCUAAUGCGGUAAUGAAAGAUAAAAGGGAAAAUGACUCUUGAGGGUAAUUAACUUUUGCGUUUGUACUUAUUUGGUCCCUUUUCUUUUUUUUGUAUUCAAUAUACCAUCGAACUUGUUGUUGGUGUUUACCAUAGCCCUUUUGACCGGCUUUUGACCUGUGAUAGCCGGUCAAAGGGUUAUGGUGAACACAGACAACAAGUUCGAUGGUAUAUUGAGUACAAAAAAAAGAAAAGGGACCAAAUGAGAACAAACGCAACAGUUGGUUACCCUCCUGAUUCAUUUUCCCUUUACUCAUUUACAACAAAUCCCACAUCAUUUCCUACUGAUAUUAAUGACUUUUAUGAGAUUCAUUCUUGCUUCUCUUCAAAACAUAACCUACGAAAGGACAUUAUUCAUACAUGUACAACUUUGUAAUGCACUUGAAUAUUUAUUAGGGGAAUCUUGACUAAGCAGGCGCAUUUCAUGACUACAUUUACAUUUCCAAUCAAAUGAUUUAUCGUAUCAUGGAUUCUAGACAAGUCUACAAACGAGUGGAAUCACAAGUGCUAUGAUUUUUGAGUUUACUUAGCUUUAAGAUCGAACUCAUGGGAUAAGAUACAACAUCAGUAUGUACAAUACAAUGGUGUAUUGUACAUACUGAUGUUGUAUCUUAUCCCAUGAGUUCGAUCUUAAAGCUAAGUAAACUCAAAAAUCAUAGCACUUGUGAUUCCACUCGUUUGUAGACUUGUCUAGAAUCCAUGAUACGAUAAAUCAUUUGAUUGGAAAUGUAAAUGUAGUCAUGAAAUGCGCCUGCUUAGUCAAGAUUCCCCUAAUAAAUAUUCAAGUGCAUUACAAAGUUGUACAUGUAUGAAUAAUGUCCUUUCGUAGGUUAUGUUUUGAAGAGAAGCAAGAAUGAAUCUCAUAAAAGUCAUUAAUAUCAGUAGGAAAUGAUGUGAGAUUUGUUGUAAAUGAGUAAAGGGAAAAUGAAUCAGGAGGGUAACCAACUGUUGCGUUUGUUCUCAUUUGGUCCCUUUUCUUUUUUUUGUACUCAAUAUACCAUCGAACUUGUUGUCUGUGUUCACCAUAACCCUUUGACCGGCUAUCACAGGUCAAAAGCCGGUCAAAAGGGCUAUGGUAAACACCAACAACAAGUUCGAUGGUAUAUUGAAUACAAAAAAAAGAAAAGGGACCAAAUGAGUACAAACGCAAAAGUUAAUUACCCUCAAGAGUCAUUUUCCCAAGAUAAAAUAUCUGUAUAACACAGCUUAAUAUGGACACUUGACAGUUGACAUGCAUAUAGAAACAUUUUUACUUAUUAUUAAAUUAGUUUUAUUUUCAUUUUAUUAUUAUACAUAAUAAGAGAAAAGACACAUUGUUUUAAUAAUUUUACUUAUUAUUAAAUCAGUUUUAUUUUUAUUCUAUUAUUAUACAUAAUAAGAGAAAAAGACACAUUAUUUUAAUCUUCCAAAGGUUUUUCCAAAAUGUUAACUAAGAAUUUCAUAGGUAUUACUUAAAGAAAUGGCUAUAUGUACGAUAUGGGCCCAAUGGGCCAUAAGUGGUCUCCCAUAUUUUUCAUUUUCCUUUAUUUUUACUUUCAUUUCCUUAAUUUUUACAUCAUAUUUUAUGGUAAAAUUUAUUUUAAUUUACCACUUAAUUUUAGCGAUAUAAAGCUUUUUUUUUAUAUGCUGAAAACCUUAAAGAUUCCUAACAUUGAAGGAUUAGACUUUACUUCACAUAUAUCUUUCCACCAUCCCACAUUGUUUUGGGUACGGAGAUAAAGGAAGACAAACCUUUAAAAAAGACAAAACUGCACAAAUGGUCCCUAUGGUUUGUAGAAAAAUGUCACUUUGGUCCAAAAAACUUUGGACUAGCACCAGUGGUCCAAAACUUUCAUUUUGUUGCGUCUUUGGUCCAAUCUGUUUUGAUUUUUUUCAAAAUGACGGAUUUGCUCCUGUUAAUAUGAUUUUUUUUCUUUUUUCUUAUUUGUUUUUCUGAUUUUCAGAUUUAAAAAAAAACAGAAAAUAAAAAUCUCUCUCUAAUUUAAAAAAAAACAGAAAAUAAAAAUCUCUCUCUCUCUCUCUCUCUCUCUCUCUCUCUCUCUCUCUCUCUCUCAACAUAACCCAAAAUACACCAUAAUUCAAAAGUUCUUCAAAAAAAAAAUACACACUUACAAAACAAACAAACUCAUAAAUCUAAAACAUUUCUAGAACUAAUUCUGUAAUCGAUUUGUUGGUAUGGGAUAGAUCAAGAAACAUGAAUAUGAAAUCGAUUUGUCUUCAAAAUUAUUUCUGGAACUAAAAAACCCAGAAAAUGAAUAUGAAAUCGUAUGUCCCUCAAAAUUAUUUCUGGAAUUAAAAAACCCAGAAAACAAAUCUGUAACCGAUUUGUGUGUAUGGGAUAGAUCAAGAAACAUCACCCAUUUGACAGGAUCCACGAGACAACAUUUGGUUUCUCCCUAGAAAUAUGAUUGUAAGAAAGAUCAGUAACCUUAAUAGAAAACCCAAUCGGUUUCAACACACCAUUAAAAUCGAUUUACAGCCUAAUCGAGUUCGUUGUAAAGGUGGAAACACCGGAAAAAACAACGAUCAGAUCUCGGCUACAUGAAGAACUCGAACUCUUUAUUACCACCGCUGGAAACCCUAGUUGCGCCGCCUGUCCAAACCAUAACACCGCCAUCUGAUGAGAAUAGUUUCCAUGAAACCCUAGCCGCCAUGAACAUCCCAGAUCUGUGUUUGAGGGAGUAGCAGAUGAAGAAGAAGGUAGAUGAAGAAGCACGGUUCGUCGGUAGAUUUGAAUCAGAUGCAGGAGAAGAUGACUUCAAUGAAUUUUUUGUUAAAGUCGUCCCUGAUAACUCUAGUACCAGAGUAGAUGACUUCAAUAGAAAGAAGCUUUGAAGCGGUUGAUCUAGUGAGUAAAGCUACAUAUUUACGAGAGAGAGAGAGAGAGAGAGAGAGAGAGAGAGAGAGAGAGAGAGAGAGAGAGAGAGAGAGAGANNNNNNNNNNNNNNNNNNNNNNNNNNNNNNNNNNNNNNNNNNNNNNNNNNNNNNNNNNNNNNNNNNNNNNNNNNNNNNNNNNNNNNNNNNNNNNNNNNNNNNNNNNNNNNNNNNNNNNNNNNNNNNGAGAGAGAGAGAGAGAGAGAGAGAGAGAGAGAAUUUUAUUUAUUUUUUGUUUUUUUAAUCUGAAAAUCAAGAGGGAGAGAGAGAUGGAUUUUUAUUUUUAUUUUCUAGUUUUUAAAAAAAAAAAAAAUCAGAAAUCAGAAAAACAAAGACAAAAUUGCAAGUUUGGUUCCUGUGGUAUGUCAAAAAUUGGAUGUUUGGUCCAAAAAGUUUUGGGAUUGCACCGCUGGUCCAAAAUGUUUGAUUUGUUGUGGAAUUGGUCCAAAGGUUAGUGUGAGGGUAUUUUUGCCCAAAAGGAUUGAUCUUGUAAAUUAUUUCUCAAAUAAGGGUAACUUUUGAAUAAAUUAAAUUAAAGUUUGAUUCCACUUUGACUUUUGACUGGUCAAAAUAGGAAUCCGAUUUGAAAGUGGUCAAGGGAUUAUUUUUUUGUUCGUCAAUUGAUUGAUCGUCAAGGGGAACGCAAAGGAAAUGAAUACAAACAUGAAGGGAAGAACGAAGGCAUAAUCGAUUGGGAGGAAGAAGAGAUUGGGACGGGAAUGAACCGAAUGCAGUGAAGAAGAACGCACAUGAAAUCAACGAAUGUUCGAUCGUUCUUUUGGCUGAAGAAAGGGGGUCUGAUGGCUUCUGAUUUUUCAUCGAUUGAUUCGCAAUCGGUGAUGGCCCCUGGGAUUCGACUUAGGCCGAAGAAGAGGAAGGGAAAAUAAGAGGCAGCGAGGGGUGUUAGGAGGUGGUAGUCGACGAAGAGAGACAACCGAGCCUAUUAGAUCAGCCCUCGCAGGAUAAGAAAUCAGUCAAGGAGGCCGCCUGAGCAACCCCCUCGCCAUCACUGUUGUUGACAACAGCCAUCACCGAACCACUCUUCUACUUUCGUUUUCCUUUUCCUUGUCCAAACAAGCCAAGCACAGGUGGUGCCCUCCAUGGGAUCAGCAACUGCUGCUGCUUUCAUUCCCUUUUCUUCUCCGAUCAGACACGAAGGUGAAGAACCCCUCCUCCAUCGUUUGUGUUACAGGACCAAAACAAUCAUCGAUUUUUGAUUGCUUCCGUUCGUUACUUCUUUCUUAAUCUGAUGAAGACAAAGUCUUUUCCCCCGACUUGUUAAGAUGAUGACCGUGUUGGUCCCUUUACCCAAAUUUUGUAUCAAAUUGGCAAAACCAGUCCCUCUAGUUGUAGCUUUAAAUUAAAAUUAGCCACUUGACAUAAAUCUUUUCAAAGCAUGUCCUAAUUUAAUAAGAUUUUAAAAGAAGGGGUGUGAAUUGACAUAAAUACCCUCACACUAACAAAGGGCACAAACGAAUGUUAAGCCUUUGGACCAAUUCCACAACAAAUAAAACCUUUUGGACCACCGGUGCAACCCCAAAACUUUUUAGACCAAACAUCCAAUUUUUGACAUACCACAGGGACCAAACUUGCAAUUUUGUCGAAAAACAAAUAAGAAAAAAGAAAAAAUCAUAUUAACAAGGGCAAAUCCGUCAUUUUGAAAAAAAUCAAAACAGAUUGGACCAAAGACGCAACAAAAUGAAAGUUUUGGACCACUGGUGCUAGUCCAAACUUUUUUGGACCAAAGUGACAAUUUUCGACAAACCACAGGGACCAUUUGUGCAGUUUUGUCUUUAAAAAAUAAAGACAAAUAAAUUUUUUUUUUAAAUAAGUUGGGAUGGAGAGAGUUUUUCCCUUUCGGUCCACCACAUCAUUUUUUUUAUUUCUUCACAUCUUCAUUUUUCUCAACUCACAACACAUGUAAAUUAUAUCUUUGUGAACUCACUCAACCCACUUUUCAUGUCAUUCUUUAUAUUUAAUUAAAUUAGAAAAUAUAAAACACAACAUAACAUAACAUUUUUUUUUCAUUAAAAAAUAAACUUGUGCUAAUUCAAAACAAAAAAAAUCUAAAAUCUAAAAUUAUAUUAAAAUUAACAUUUGAUUAAAAAACCACAUUGCAAAUAAAAAAUACACGAUAAUUAUAAAACACAAUAAUUAAAAAAAACACUUAAAGAUAAAAUAAUUAAAACCCUGAAACAACAAUUAAAAUUAACUAGUUUUCUGGAGUUGAAAUGUAGACAUAUUUAAUAUGAUCAGUAAGAUCGGAUCGAAAUUGUUAGUGAGUUUCAUCAUUGUGCAAUUCAUGUAGUAUUUUUGGGUCANNNNNNNNNNNNNNNNNNNNNNNNNNNNNNNNNNNNNNNNNNNNNNNNNNNNNNNNNNNNNNNNNNNNNNGGGAAUGGGAAGGGGAGGGCUGAUACACAUGAGAUAUCACAACACCCAUAUCCUGCAGUAUCAUAUUGUAUAAUAUAAUACAAGCGUAUAUUACAUUUAUUGUUUUCUUCCCCGUCAUAGCUCGUGCAAAAUUUUUUAAUAUGUCCCAACGUACUUUAAGGACUCCAAAAGCACGUUCUACGUCUCUUUUUGCUGAUUCUUGUGCCGCCUUGAACCGUUUCUUUUUAUCGGUUACAAGAUGUAGAUAUGCCUUCACAAAUACAUCCCAUGUUGGUAUAUUUCAUCCGCAAGAUAGUAAUCAUGCUUGUAGUGUUUGCCAUUCAAAUAAAAUGAACAAUCGGGUCUUAUUCCAGGAUAUUUAUCAUCAAAAAGUGGUGAUUGGCAAAUGACGUUUAUAUCAUUAUUCGAACCGGCUACACCAUAAUAUGCAUGCCAAAACAAUAAAUCUUGUGACACCACUGCUUCUAGUAUCAUUGUUGGAUAUUGAUGGUCACCCAUCGUGUAUUGGGCUCUCAAUUUCGUUGGACAAUCCCUCCAAUUCCAAUGUGUGCAGUCAAUGUUACCAAGCAUUCCAGGGAAUCUAUGUCUAGCUUCAUGUGUUUCAUACAAAAGUUGAAUGUCACUAGAACUGUUUAAAUUUUAUAGAACAAUCAACAUAUGUCGUAGCUAAAGACAACUCUUCGCGUUCCACCCAUUUCUUUAACUUCUGACGGUUUGUAUAGUUGUGCUUUUUCUCAGCAACCGGUUGCAACUCCUCGUUGGUUUCUUCUUCGUUUUUUUCGAGAACCAUGUCGUCACUAGAACUGUCAAGUUCUAUGUUUUGAGCAUCAUGGAACUGAAAAUUCUCGGGUUGAGAAGAUUGGAAUUGGGUUUCUGGAACCCAUUGAGAAAACUGAUUACAUGGAUUAUAACUUGGUUUUUCUUAUGCAAACCUAAAUGUGUUGUAAGAUUGUUGCACUAGGUAAUAUUGUUGUAGGUAGUUUUGGUAUGGCAAAUAGUUUGGAUUUUGAAAUCUUGAAGAAGAAAAUUGAAUAUCCUGACUUAAACCGCUUUGUGUUGAUUUUUCUUUGGCUAAAACCGGUUUGUUUAGCUUUGCCUCGUGAAUCUAUUGAAUGUAACCGAAAGAAUUGAAUGGAAUGGAAAAAAUUUCAAAGAAUUGAGUGUGUUAUCUUGAUAAAUGAUAAACAUUUUGGUAUGUUUAUAUAUAUGUUUUUGUAUUGUUUUUAUUAGAAAAAACAAAUAAAAGAAUUAAAUGCAAUUGUUCAAUCAAUUAAUUCAAAUGCACUUUUGGUAUGUUCAAUAAAAUUCACAUGUUAAAUGAAAACAAAAUAAAGGGAAUCAUACAUGGAAUCACAUGCAAACGUUAAAACAAUUCACAUGCAUUAACAUCGGGUUCACCAAACCGCUGGAAUUCCCUUCACAACUCAACCUGCUGAAGUCACCGAGAAAGGAAUUGCAUACCAGUGGUACCACUGCAUCCCAGUGGCCAAAUCACUUGUGACUCUGUUUUCCCUUAGGGAUAUAGUUUUUAAUCAAAGAACCAAAAACCCAAUGGCUCAAACCUAGAAAACAAAAAAUCAAACCCAAUUUUUUUUUGAAAUCAACGAUUUUUAAACGCAUAAAAACAAGCUUUACAAUUUGGGUUCAAUUUUCUCCCAAAACCAACUCAAACCAACAAUGGCAAAGCCAUAACAAAAUGUCAGGGGUAGCACACAUAAAUUUUAGGGGUAGCAUACCGAAACUUAUCAAAAAAGUUUCACUACACGUCUACACCUAAAAAUUUAAGGGGUCACAAGCUACCCCAAGCUUCUACAUAGAUCCUCUCCUACAAACCAAGAUGUGCUCACCCUUACUAUUUAUAAUGAUAAAAAUUGAUAUAAAAUAACGUUUAACCUUUUCAACUAAAACAAUUUGGUCUAAGCACCACAAACCUCCUUCUCAAGCACCAAAGAUCUAUUUGUUGAGCACCGUAGACCUUGCAUCAACAUACACUUGUAUACAUAAUUAUUUGUAGCUAUUACUUAACAAAAGUUAGAUUUAUCACUCAUUUUCGCUAGACAUGGAAUGUGUAGAUGUCUACUUGGUAGUUUGGUUCAUUUAAAAUAGUCCGUAUAUUAUCCUUAUUAACCUCUAACAUUUAAUAUUUCAGAUCUUUUAACCAAACAUUUUAAGACAAAAAUGAGCAUACACAUGACAAAUCAUAGAUUUAUACGGUCCCUACUCCUGAUAGCCAAAGUCUUAAGGAUUAAGACUAAUCCAAUCCAAUCCCAUGAUUCAGUUACAUUUAUAUUUAUACAAUUUGUUUAAGUUCCCUCGUUUUUCAAAUAGUAACACUUGUUGGUCUUUUACAUUUCUACCUCCAUACACAACUGGCAUCACCAUACAGCAGUCAAGAACUGUUGAUCAGAACAUAACCAGAUUCAAAACGACUACAAGAUUGCAGUGUUCUUCCAGUGCUCUCACAUUCAUCUUUCUCAUCCAUAUCCACCAGUGGCACCUUUCCAAGUUGCUUCCUGCUUAAAAAGAAAAAUCUCAUUCAUCUUUCUCUACUAUGUGCAAAAGACAAAGAGGUUUCUUCUUCUUUUUCCUAAUUAUGAGUAUGGGGGUGAAGUGGCUGGAUGGGUAAUGAUGUGUGUCUGGAUAAAGUGUUGUAUACAUAAAACAUUUUUUUUUCUGGACUAAAUAAACUGGCUGAAUGAGAGCAAACGACAAUUUUACCCUUACAUUCUAAAAAAACAAAAACUCACAACUUUCAUAGAUCUUAGCAGCAUUUAUAAAUUUUAAUAUGAGAGCAGUUAGGAGGGGAAAAAAGGCAAAUAAGUAAAGGGUUGGUGUCUUUAUUCAAUCCAUCUGUCCAUAGUGAUGAAUCUUUUAGAAAACUUUAGAGUAUGACAUACCUUUCAGCAGUGAGCUUAUCCUCAGAUAAAGCCUUUUCUAAUCUUUCUUCAAAAGGUGUAGCAUGCCAGCUAACUUUCUGAUCCUGCACACCCAAAACAUAAGGCAUAUAUGAUAUAUGAUAUACCAAGCCUCGCUUUGUUUAUGUUACAUGUAACAGGUACAACAGAUGGAUAAAAAUGAACAAGAUUUACCUCAUUGUAUUUAUGAGUGGAAUUGGGGAUUCCAUUCCCAUCCCACCACUUGGGUGGGAAAGAAGCAGCUUCAUCAGCAUUCCAAUGAGCUGCAACCAUCCCUAGUAUCGGUCUAUCCCCUGGAGUUUUGCCAAUUUUAGGAAGAAUGGAGCCUUGAUGAUUCUGCUUUGGUGGUAGCCAUGAAGACAAACUUGUAUCCACAUUUAACUCUUUUUCUUCUCUUUCGACUUGUGACUUAUAAUGUUCUUCAAAUUGAGUUGAGGAGUCAUCAGAGCUAAAACUUUCUUCCACGAGUUUCUUCAACUGAGUGGCAUUUUCCACAGGGCUUAGCACUGGGAUCACAUACUGAGAUCUGAUCCUUGGUUUCUUCCCAGUUUCUUUAUUAUGAAAAGAUGCAUGGAAGACAGUGCCAGGUGUUUGCAUAUCAUUGGUUAAGCUGAGAGGGGUAGGGUAAGGUGAAUGUUUUGAAUUUGGUUCUUGGGAAGUAACUUCAGAUGAAGAACUACUUGAUGAAAAUGAAGAUGCAUCAAUCUCAGAAUUAAAUCGAACAGUUUUGUUUCUGAACUGUGUGUUUGCAACUGGAGGAGUAGAUGAAGCAGUAGGACUCUGUGCUUGAUUGGCAUGUCCUGUCACACAACUACCCAACAAAAGGAGUUACCUUUUCUGUUUGUUACAAGCAUUAGUUUUGUAAUUUUAGAAAUAAAAAACUGACUAAAUUUGAGAUAUUACCUGUCUAGUGAAUGUGAUGAAGAAUCUGAUUUAUUGUCCCAUUCUUCAAAGAGUUUGAUUGCAGAAGGUUGCAAAUCGGAUUGCUUCUCCAGUUUGAGCUUUUCAAGACUAUCAUUUUGAAGCCAUGAAUGACAUGUUGAUGAUUUUGUAUCUUUGUUUUGGGGUUCUAAAUCUUUUAGUUUCUCAUUGUUCCGAAUUUCAACUGGAGUUUGUGGUAAAGUACCACAAGCUUUGAGAAACUUAGCCUGUAGAAUUACAAUUUAUAGUUAGAUGAUUGGUAAAACCAUAAAAAGUAUAGCUAGAAGUUGGGUGUUUGUUAAAGAUUUGUGUAUUAACUGCCUGCUUUCCUCUUUCCCUAUAUAAAUUAUAAUUACAGUGAAAUUAUUACCUAUGUGGUCAAGAGAUGUUAGUAUACAAAGCACAACAUUUGAUAAAGUAUGUAACCUUCCAAGUAUAGGCAAUAUUUUAUUAUAUUUGGUUUAAAAAUGGCUGAUUGGGUCAAAUGGGAAUGCAUUUGUACUUUGAGAAGAUAGGCAGUAUAUGUUAAAAGUUUGACACCUUUCAGAUUUGGCACCCAACAACCCUUGGUGUUAACUAAGUCUUUCUUUUUCUUAACAAACAGGUUUUUGUCUCUUAUGAGACAUAACACUGACCAAAACAUCUUACUUAGGAGUUAGGAUCUUGUCUUCACUUGGAGAUGGAAUGUAACACAUUUAAAAAAAAAAGGAAAGUAGAGACCUAAUGAAUGAGGUUAUCAAAUAGUUCCUUCACCAAAAGAUUAUAUGGUCUAACACUCUUGGAAAAGUAAAAAAAUAUGUAAGCAGAAUAUUUUGAUUAGUUAAUAACUAUCAAAUAACUAUUGAACAAUUCUCAGCAUUCAGAAAAGUAAACAAAAAUGAUCAAAUAGGUGUUUUAAAAUCAGUGAACUAUGACAGAAACAAGAAGUUGAUGUCCAAAUAGCAUAAACCAACCUAAUAAAAAAUAUUUGCAAAAUUGCCGGGUUUCUUGGGAUGCUAACAAGUGAUUUCAAAUGUGAAUAAACCAAAAUUUUGAAGAACCUUGUGUCAGAAAAAACAUCAAUAACAGAAAACAUUGUUUUCAAAAAUACAAGAUGCAGCCUCAGUUUGUUGUCCUCUUGUUUUUCUAUGUUCUUAGAAAUGUCAAUAAAGAGGUUAAGUAAAGUAGCUCUGACUCAUUAGCAAAAAAACAUCUUACAUGAGUAAGAUAAAAGGCCAGUCAUUCAAUUGAAGCAAGAGUUAUCAUUCCAAUUAAAUGAGAAUUAUCACAAGCAAGAAAAGUGGAUUGCCUACGCAAAGUCUAGAGGCAAAAAUAUGAUAGAUUACUUUAUAUUGAGAGAAAAGGACAGAUAAUAGCAUGAUAUUAAAGCUUGUCUAACUCAAAUAAAUAAGUCAAAACUCGCAAUACAUGCCUCUUAAAUAUAACGGUUUAAUUUAUUUUGACCCAGACCUUCUGAGUUGUGUACUAACACCACUUGCUGAUCGUUUUUCAUUGUAGAAGACAACAAAAAUAUUAUUACCUCAGCUUUCAGCUCCGUCGAAUUGAAAUUAGGGGAAGCAGAACCUAGAACUCCGCAUUUCCUGUCCUUACAAGGCGAUUGAUCUCUAUCUUCAGCUGAAAGAUGAACAAGGAUUUUAUGAGCAAUAUAUCAGCAAAUAAAUCCACAAACCCUAAAGAAAAUUCUCAAACAUUUUUGUGAGAUAGAAAAAUUAAAUGUAUAAACCUGCUUGAAAAUGAGAGCGGCUCCAAUAAAAACAGUUAUAUCAAUGUUCACGAAGCUAUGAGAAAAUAACACCGAUCAACUCACCUUCGAAAAGUAGCAAAGUCGAUAAAUGAUUUCUAGCUCCAGACUCACGAUCCUGACCGAGGUAAAAAAAUAAACAAAUGUCAGAAACAACAGAUCUCGGAAAUUCCCUCUUCUUCUAUAUCUUUAACCUCUAGAUCUUACCUUGGGGUUUGAAGCGAUUGGUUGAGAGAGGAGAUGGAUUGGAGGCCGACGGUCAUCUCUAACACGAAAACAUGCGAAGAAACAACCCAUCGUCCUGCAAUUAAACUCUACGAAAUUCAAUUUGAGUCAAGCAACAUAGUAUCAAAAUCAAAUUUGGAAUAUAGGUAAUCGUACUGAAUAAGAACCCUAGUUUUUAUGUUCAGGUAGGAGCAAGGCGAGGUAAAACGUUUUUGAAAUUUGAAAGACAGAAGAGACAAAAAAACGAGGGAAGAUCCCGGAAUUCAAAAUUCCACUAAUUGUAAUGAUGAAUUAUUAGCAGAUGUUUGACUUUUUAAAAGAUUUAUGUCGAAUUCGGAUAUUUGUAAACAAUCAUAAUUAACCUAUUAUUAUUUGGAUUUAGGUGAUUGAAUUACUAUGUAAAACCAUGUCGUGACAAUUUAUUUUUUGUUAUUUUAAAAAAGUUUCUUCAUAAGUGGCAUUUGGCAUUCUCAGAUACCACAUGACUUAUUUACAAAUCAAAAGUGCCGACUAAUUUUUUAAAAAAAUAUAGUACUUUAUUGUAUUUUGNNNNNNNNNNNNNNNNNNNNNNNNNNNNNNNNNNNNNNNNNNNNNNNNNNNNNNNNNNNNNNNNNNNNNNNNNNNNNNNNNNNNNNNNNNNNNNNNNNNNNNNNNNNNNNNNNNNNNNNNNNNNNNNNNNNNNUUAGGCAAAUUACAUGUUUCUCCAUGUGUUCAUAUGAAAGUUAUGCAUUUCAAAAUGAUCAAAUAGCAAUAAUAUAAUCAUUAGGUUUAUCACAUGAUAAAACCAAAAAUCAUAAAAAUUAAUGUAUUUUUGUUUUUGUUUUCCUUUUAAUUACUGAAAGACUUUUAGUUAUUUUUCUUUUUAACCACUUAAUGUUUGUUUUUAUAUUCCAAAAAUAAAAAUCAAAUUCUUAAAAGCAAUUAUAGUUUGAAAAAAUUUCAAUCUAACCAUCCGGAUGAUUUUUUUAUGAAUCAACUUUUAAAACUUAAGAAUUUCUUAUUAAAAAAACAUCUUUAACCAGAAAAAUAUUGUUGACGUAUAUUUGUAAAUCAUUAUAAAAAAAUAAAUAAAUAAGAACAUUACAAUCUUCUUUUUGAAGAAAAAAAAUAGUUCUUAAUAGUUUAGCACUUGGUGAUCAAACAAUAAAAUAAAAUGUAAUAGUUGUAUGAAAUUUGGUUACAUAAUAAUUAUUAAUUUUGUGAUGAUUAUUUCACAAAAAAAAUAUUGCAAGACAACUUAAUCUGACUAUAAGUGAAUUUUUGAAUAAGUCACACCCCUGAAUCGGGACGGCGGAAACGUCCAGGGACGGGUGACUUUAUAUUGUAAUAUCAUAACAAUUGAAUAUAAAUGAUACAUAGCAACCAACACAUCAUACAUUGCUAUAUACCAACAUUCAUGGUUUACAAAUGGUACUUGUUCUUCCAUUACACAAAAAUAACAUAAAGUAUGAUGUCUCAAAAAGAUAGCAAAACUCUAGAUCCAAGGCUCGAGUACUUGUUUCAUUGAGUCUCUGAGAAUACAAGUCGUUUUGAAAAGCAUUAACAUAGAAAUGUUGGUGAGUUCAUAAACAUAACUGUAGGAAAAACUUUGUAAUAUCUUAGUUUAUAAUAAAUUGCAAAACUCCAGAAAAUCCAAUAUUUUAAAAAAAAAAUGUAGUUGUGAGUCUCGUUCCCAAAACCGUGUAUAAUUACAUGCAUAUUUCUUGUUUUCCUUUGUUUGUAUUUGAAAAUAAUGUGUUCCCAAAAAAUCCUAUAUUUUAUGUUAUAUAAAAAGUUAUGGUCUUAAAAACCCUAAGACCAUAGAGGGGAGAUUAGUUUACAAAAUAGACGAAACGUAGUUUUGUAUUUUAUAAAACGAGUAGAGUGUAAAUUGUUCAUAAAUUUAAAAUAAUAUUGUUACUCCCUAUGUGAGUCGUUACAACCAUGCUAAUGCGACUAAAGCGUCUGUCUUGACGUUUUUCAGGCGUCGGUUUCUAAUAAGAUAUUUGUCACCCUAGACUGACCCGUCUAGCUAUAGCAAACAACUCAGGUGUGAGGGUGUCAACCUCGUAUAGAUCUAUACAUAAUUACCCCGCUCUCCCUCUAGGAGACUCUGGUUAUAACUACAAGACUUACGUUGUACGCUAGGUAGGUACGGUGAAGGAAUGUCUCACAAGAGCCUCAACAAAAAUUUACGCGAAUUUAUCAAAUAAUGCAUAUGGCGUUCUUAGUGUUAACUUAUGACUACGGUUUUAUGACACGCGGAUAUUUGUGCCGUAUAACUUUGUUUUGCAUCCCGAUUUUAUUAAAUUAUUUAUAACGAUGUUUAUAAAUAGUUACUAAUGGCUUGUUAACUUGAAAUAUGUGUUGUAAAAAUAACAAAAUACUCUAGUUUUUAAACCCUUGAAAUAGUACACCCCUUUACGAAUAUUUUACUAAUAAAAACUAUAUUUUAGUAAAAUGUUCAAGUGUUAUGGUGGGUUGUUAACACAUCAAAAAUUUAUUUGAGUGUUUUGUAACCCAAAAAUACUCUAUUUUUGUUGUGACUAGAACAUGUCAUAAUUUUCACAAAAUUUCAUAAAACCUUGAUAUUUAUUAUGUUUCCACAAUUUUUCAAGUAUUAGUGGUAAAAAUCUAUAUAUCUAAAAAUUUACCAUUUUGAGGGUAAACUCUCAUAUUUUACCAUCUUUCAAGCUUUUAUAACCAAACAUGCUAUAACAUUUUCUUUGACGUUAUUUUUGACUUUUAACACAUACUAAAGUCAUUUUUACUUAGCAACUUGUUCCAUUUUCAACAUGAUACCUAAACAUGUGAAACUACACAAAGAUAACUUUGUUCCAACAACAUGAGACCUUGUAAAAAUCUUGAGUUUAAGGAGUGUUAGCAUGAAAUAAUAACAUUUCAACACACGUAGACAUAUAAACCUACAAGUUCAUGCAAAUAUCCAAGGAUUUUCAAACAAGACUUGACUUGUAUUCCCCCUCCCACCCCCACCCCCANNNNNNNNNAAAAAAAGGAUGAAAACUUGAAAAUAGUGGGGUAUGAAGCUCACAUUGGGUGUAUUUGAAGUGAUGAGAUGAAAGUUUUGAGCCUAAAACACUUUGAGUGUUUGAUGAAACUCUUGAAGACUAUGAUGCCUUAAAGUUGUCAACACAUAAUAUUAUGUGUAAAUAAAAAGAAAUUAACAAGAUAAGGUCUACAGUCACUAGCCAAGUUUGAAUUACUUACGGUGGUUUAGGGAAAUGCCUUGGAGAAAUUAGUAUCCUAAGAACUUGAAGCUUGAACUCUCAGAGAGCAAAUUUUGGAUUUCUCAGUAAGUGAAAGUGGGAAUUGUGAUACGGUAAAAGGGUUUUCGUCCAAUAAAAGAAGGAAAGAUGACUUGAUGUUUGCUUAGAUUAUCGGAGAAUAAUACCUUGUUAUUUGAUAGUUAAUACGUGUUUUAUUGUGUUUGCCUUGGAAAUGGGUGAAAUGUCACAACUUAAAGUCAAAUAUGUUUGCUUUUUCUCUAUUCUAAUCCGUAAACACCUUAAAAUAUACAGGCAUGGUUGUAAACACAUGUGUUUACGCCCUAGGAUGGUUUCCUUUUGGGUUUACGGCCAAGGUAUGGUCCAUUAGAGGGGAUUUAUGGCCCAAGGAGCCCAAAUGAGGGUGUUUUCGGCCCACUAUGGCCCAAAUAAAGGUGUUUACGGUUUUGGGUGAUUCUCAUGGGUGUGUUCACGGUUCUAGCUAGUGGGAACUCAAAGGUGAUGGCCUUAAAGUUUCAAGCAUUCAAGGUUGCAAUAUCAAUACAUGUUCUUGUGUCAAACCAUCAACUCGUCGAGUUUCAUGAAUCAUAAAGCCUUGAAAUCGCGAUCCAACUCGUCGAGCUCUUUCAUGAACUCGUCGAGUUCCUCCCUAUAACAAAGUCAGGACUUUUCAACACAGCUCGUCGAGUUACUCCUUGAACUCGUCGAGUUUUUCAGUCUUCAAAACCCAAAACCAUGGCCAACUCGUUGAGCCAUCUCCUAGACUCGUCGAGUUUGCUCAGUAAACAGAAAAGGUCGGGGGACCAUGAUCCAACUCGCCGAUUUGGAUAAACAACUCGUUGAGCUCUCUUAGUCCAAAUUUAUUCAGUCACUUCCAAUCGAGUUCAAUGCUUCUAAGCCAUAAAUCUGGUCCCCUAGGGCUAAUAUAUCACGUAAAGUUCCUAUCAUUAGUUGCAUUCAUGGACUGCUUUGCUCAAAAGGCCAAAAGAAUGGUCCAUAAGUUGCAUGGGACCUUCAUGGCCAUAAAGUUGGCACCUUUAUGCCAUGAAGUCCAUAAAGACCCUAGAUCUGAAGGGUUUCCCACAUUAGACAUCCAAGUCCGAAAGACUAACAUUCUUGGACCAAAACAUGGAGAAAUCACUCUAAAACUAGAUCUAAACAUCGAAUAGACAAGAUAGGAGCUUUAUACCUAAAAUGAACCAAAAAUGGAGCUCAACUUCUGGAUCUACUCUUCUCCUUUAUGUCCUUACUCCUUCUUCAAGAAUCAUCUUCUUCAAAUUCAUAAAUAAUGCACAAAAUUGGUUCAAAACACUCAAAAGUGAACUAGGUUUCAUGGCUAGGGUUUGGGAUGAUGAAGGCUUUAAAUGAGGCCAGUCUUUGGAGGUUAAGGUGUUUAAAUAAGGUACUAAACCCUGAAAAUUAGGGUUUCAUUCUGGCAGCCCUACUCGUCGAGUUGAGUCCGUCGACUCGUCGAGUAGACUUUAAGUUCCACGUCCAAAUUCCAUUCCUGCUCGAUGAGUUUAAGGCCUCUAACUCGUCGGGUUCCUGUACAAAAAUGAAUAAAUCUGAUUUAAAAUACCUACUAGGAACUGGGCGUUACACCUCAACUGAUCUAUUCUUUGAAAUGGGUGUUAUAGAUAUCCUUAGUGAUUUUGGUAUUUUGAAACAAUAUUUGUUAUCACAAAAUGUUUUAUUAAACUUGGAUUUUCCGCAACAAAGACAACAUGCUAUUUUAAAGUAUAAAGAACAAGUUUUAUUUGGUUCUAAAAAAUAGGGGAUGUCACAGGAUGUGCUUAUAAGAUCUCAUUUGAUUAAACUUCAACCAUAUCCUUAAAUAGUUAUUAACUUCAAACUUUCCUUUUGUUUGAUCCACUGUUCAAUCGUCCAUAUCUUGAUACCUUCUUGGUUUAUAUAUUUGUGAUCAUAGUCAUUGUCUUUCUAGUAUAUCAUAUUUCAAAAGAUGAGAUUGAGUUAUAUUAUCUUCAAAUUCAAGUAUUGAUUCUUCUUGUUUUUUAUUCACUUAAUCCCAUACAUUUAACUAUCUCUAACUUAUUGAGGUUUCCUUUCUUGAUGAUUGAACUUUUGUACUUCAAGUCUUGAAGCCUUUCUUACCACUUGCUUAUGCAUAUUUCUUACUGUCUUAGAUUUAUUUCUUGAAUCAAGCUCGGUUUUAAUUAUCGUCCAACUUAGAGGGCCACUUUGAUAUGUUCAAUAUAAUUAUUUAAAUAACCUCCAAUUUAGAUAUUUCCCCCUAAACUUUAACUAAUUUCUUUAUCUUUCAGGUUCUCUAAUUUUUAUCGACAAGUUAUAACUUGUGUACCUUUUUCAUUUGAGUUCUUAUAUAAACUUCCUCUUCCUCAUAAACUCUUGAGUCUUAUAUUUAUUCAGCAUGACAUACCAAGGUUGCUAAGGUUCUCCUGGUCCAACCAAAACUGAAUAACCAAGGUUGUUAUGGUUCUCAUGCCCCAUAGUCCACUCAACAUGACAAACCAAUGUUUCUAAGGUUCUCCCGGCCCAACAAAAAUUGACAAGACUUCCAAGUUCCCUUGGACCAGCCCGGUCAUAAAAUUGUCAUGGGGCUCCUGGUCCACAUCAAGUUACAUACUAUGGUUGUCAUUUAUAGUUUUUGUUAACACUUGAUACAUUAUGUUGGAGUAUUUCAUGUUUCCUUUUCAAGAGUACAUUACUUAGACUAAUAUUAGCAUUAUGCAGUGAUUUUUCACCGUUUUCACUAAAGUCUCGAUCUCAGGGUUGUAGUGGUGGUGGAAACAGUGAGGUGGUAGCGGCGGUGGUGGUGUUAGUGGUGAUUAGUGAUGGUGGUGAUUGGUGAUGGUGGUAGUUGGAGAUGGUGGUGGU
rnacentral:lncRNA from 1 species